rnacentral:lncRNA from 1 species
AAGGAGCAUUCCUUUUUCCCAUAUGAGCCACCAGCUGGAAGCAAAAGAUUCAGGAAUCUGAUUGCUGACUUCAUGAAAAUGUACCACCAUAUUCCUUCACCACUCAUCUUUUUUUUUUACUUCUGUGUACAAGUAAUUUUUGUAUUGUCUGUCCUAGAUUCUAUUUUCGCUGAUGCAUUAUUUCAAUUUCUUUGCACGUGAAGUCCUAGGAUCAAUUUCCCCUGAUGCAUUAUUUCAAUUUCUUUGCAUGUGAACUUGGAGCAUUCAUAUUAGUUUAGGAGUGAAUCUAUUGGUCAUUUACUUGUUUGUAACAAAUAACGUAUGAAACAAUCUUGUUAACUUUUGUUCUCAAUAUGUAGAGCUCUAUGGACCAAUUGCUUGUCUUCUGUUAUCCUCAUUAGAAUUUCUUCAGACUACUUCCACUUCAUGCUAUUUGUGAUAAGUUGUAUUGUUUUUGUGGUCUUUCUUAUGUCUGUUGGACAAAUACUGUAAUAUGAAAUUUUAUCUAAUGGUGUCCUUUAUUCCUUUUGCUUCAUGUCCCCUCUAGUAGUUAAAUGUAUUUUUGGAUUUGUCAAUUAUUUGGUUUGAUGAAAUCUUGAUUCUCAUGUUAUCUAUCUGUUCAUUCAACUAGACCAUGGAAUGUGUUGUUGCUGUGAGUUACGCUGCACGUGCUUGUUAUUCGUCUAGUUAUGCAACUUUUAUGUAAACAUACGUGUUUGGAUGUACUCGUAUAUAUACUGGACCUGAGAUAUUUGCACCUGACCUACUUAUUGAUGUACGUGUAAAAUGAAGAACUUUUUGAGAUCUGGAAUGGAUCAAGACCUGCAAUUUUUAUUUGUAGAUUUUCCACUCUCCAGUCCAAUUAUAAAAGACAGUUUGUGAAUGCUGCAUAAAUAAGCUAGCCAAACUUAAAGAUGCUUAGUUGCCUCUUUCUCUUCUUGCGUAUACGAGUAAAACAAUCCACAUUCCUAACUUUUCUUCUCCACUUGUUUCUCAAGAAUGUUGUCUUUCCUUCAAGAGCUGUGUGGCAAUUGUGAAUGCUCUUCGAUUGUUUUCACCUCGUCUUGAACAUCUAACGGGACACUUACCGAAGCAAUGAUUAACAAGUUUAGCAAUCAAGGUAUGAUCUAUUUCUGAUUGAUUUUUGUGUUAUUUUUGACAUAGUUGAAGAUGUCAUUUUUUGGCAGAUUUUCUUUGCUAUUCUUGGAACAAGUAAUAGUGCUUAUUGCCUUGUUUGCACACAUACUAGUCUAGACACACCACAUAAGUUUUUGGAUGAUGAAAUAUCAGAUAUGAACUCAGCACAUUGUUUACCUGUUGCCUUUAUUCCUCAAGUGACAGUAAAAACUAGUAAUUGCAGUAGAUGAUAGAUUUAAUGAAAAUUACUGGGCAGCCAGACUUUUGUGUUGACAUUGAAGGGGGAGAUGGACAAAAGUCGAAGUAAUAUAAUGACGGUAAAAACUGGUAAUUGCAGGAGAUGAUAUAUUUAAUGAAAAUUACUGGGCAGCCAGAGUUUUUUGUUGACAUUGAAGAGGUAAUAUGGACAAAGGUCGCAAAAGUGAAAAAUAUUUCAUUUAACAAAUCCUAAUAUUGUCGUCCAGCCUUUCUGCACUUCUCUGCUCAUCAAAAACUCCUUUUACCAUCCAUUUGACCAUACACAAACCAAUUUACCUUCCAUUUCAACGCCCAAUUUGAAAAAAAAAAGUAGUUAUUAUAAAAUAUUUCAGUCGUCCACUGUUCAGUCACCAAAAACCAAUUUACCUUCCAUUUCAACGCCUAAUUUGAAAAAAGAAAAUACUAAUAAUAAAAUAUUCCAGUCGUCCAUCCUUUCACAAAUCAAAAAUAUCACCAAAAACCAAUUAACCAACUAUUUGAACAUAAGGUAUAUGGGUUAACAAGUCCCAAUAUUGUCCUCCAUCCUUUCUGCACUUCUCUUCUAUCAACGGACAACUCAAGAUACUUAAUCGCAAAAGUGAGGAAGGCAGGCCCUUCUCCGGAAAGUAUUUGAGCUUGGGACAUCCAAAGAGAUACAAUUCAGUGAGGUUUUGAAGAUCAACAAUUGAAGAAGAUAGGCGUUCCAGAUUUGGAAAUCUGCCAAUCUCUAGAUCUGUUAGAGAGGCAGGAAGAGGAAGCGCAGUCCCUAAUCUUUUGUCCUCCGGUGGGAAUGACACCAUGUCGGCAUCACAUCCAUCGAUUGUAAGAUGUCGCAGAGAGGAGAAUCUGUGAAAUCCCCGGCCCCGCUCAAUCAUUGACUUCCAAAUCUCCAUAUUACCCCAAAUAUCAAGUGAACGAAGGUUGGUGGGAAGGCCAUCUUCUUCAAGGCUUGGAAGCUCACCUCCUAUUGUUAAUUCUUGAAGAGAGCUCAGAUUGUGCAAUCCCUUGGGUAAGGCCUCUAGUCUCUUACAAUCAGAUAUCGUCAGCCUCCUGAGUUUCGCACAAGGCAAUCCCCCUUCGGGAAAGGACACCAGAUUUCCACACAUCAUUAUCCAUAUCUCUUGAAGCUGGUGGAGAUGAUGUAAACCACUCGGUAAAAUUUUGAGAUUUUCACAAUAAGAAAUGUCGAUUGUUUCAAGAGAUGUGUUGUUGUCCCACCUUUCUGCUAUUGACUCCAGCUUUGAACAUCCCCAAACACGAAGGGACUUAAGAGACGGAGGUAGAUUGCCAACUUCAAGGGACUCAAGCGUGGCAGGUAACUCGUUUUUUGAAAAUAUACAUGUCAGUGAUCGACAACUCUUAAUGUGCAAUUCCUCAAGAAGAGAUGAGGUGUACCUUCUGUCGCUGCUACACUGGAUGCCCUCUUCCACUGUCAAAGUCCUUAUAUUAUCACAAUCGCUGAUUCUCAGCUGCUUGAGGCUCAGUGGUAGCUGGGCUUCAGCAAUAUAUGUCAACGAAUCGCAAUGCAAAAUCGUCAACAUCUCGAGAGAUGAAUUGGUGUCACACAUCCAUGCCUCUGGUAAUGAUUUCAGUGCAUCACAUUCUCUAAUCUGAAUUUUCUUCAACUUGGAAGGCAAAAGAUCAUGCUUCUUUCUAAUGUCACAUUUGCCUUCUAUUCCAGUAACAGGAACUGUCAAUACUAGUUUACUGUAAUAAGCCUAAAGAGUCAAUAGCAAAGAAACUGUGUAUAAGAUCCACAAUAACAUAAUAACGCCAAAAAGUCAAAUAGAAACUUUGUAUCUUAUCUUUGUAUAACAUAAGAUCCACUUUCACUUCACGGAUAUAUGCCUCCUUUGAAUCUUCAGGCAAAUAAUUUGAGUAAAACUCUUCCCAAAUUCUCUUUAUCAAUCUCGUGGUUGUUGCUUGCAUUACCUUGUUUUUUGAUGCUCUCAGAUUUGAAUUUAUUUCCUUCUUCAGCACCACAUUUUCUUCACCAAAGACCUGGUGUGGCGUCUUUCCUCCAUUUUUUCAAAAAGACCAGACACAAAUGCACACUUGCUGAUCCUUUUAUUAGGAAGCUCUGCAAAUUGUUGGAGUAUGAUAUGUCCAUGAACCACCACAUACCUUUCAACUUCUGUGGGAUUGGAAGAAAUAUAAGCAGGAUUAGUCUUACUGAACUUGGACACUUUUUUUAUUACAUCUGCAAAACGAGAGUCGAGAUGCUCGACUCUGAUUGUUCAACAUUGUAAUGAGGGCAAUAGCAAGCCUCGCAGAUUUUAGAACUGGUUUGUACCACGCUGCAUACUGCUUUGAUCUGCUGUACCGUACAUCCGCCUUGGCCGUACAGCAGAAGAGAUGAGGUGUACCUUCUGUCGCUGCUACACUGGAUGCCCUCUUCCACUGUCAAAGUCCUUAUAUUAUCACAAUCGCUGAUUCUCAGCUGCUUGAGGCUCAGUGGUAGCUGGGCUUCAGCAAUAUAUGUCAACGAAUCGCAAUGCAAAAUCGUCAACAUCUCGAGAGAUGAAUUGGUGUCACACAUCCAUGCCUCUGGUAAUGAUUUCAGUGCAUCACAUUCUCUAAUCUGAAUUUUCUUCAACUUGGAAGGCAAAGCAACCUCAGGAAAGGAAACAAGGGAACUGCACUUGCAGAUUUCUAUCUCUCUCAAGGAACUGAGGCUGAACGAUAAUUGUGGCAGCUUCACAAGGCCUUGGCAUUCGCUCAAUCUUAGAUAUUCGAGUCUGCUUGACAAUUCGCAGAGCUGCUGUUGUUGGUCUUUCUCUUCCUCCGCCACCAAGGAUUGAAGUUUGGGACAGCUGUCAAUCGUCAAUCUUUUGAGAGAGCAAAUGUCUUGCAGUAAUUCGUUACGACUCUUCCAUAUAUGUGUUUCAUUUUUAAUAUUAUUUAUCUCCAAUUCUUCCAGUUUUGGUAUUCGCAACUUCAAUGGCCCUACGAGAAACACUUGAUUUGAUGUAUCUCUACAAACCACUGAAUUCUGUGACCCGAUAUGAUCAGUUGCACUUCUCCACACAACCUUUUUACAUCCACCAAUUACCAAUUCGCAAAGAGCUGGAAGACUCGUAAUUGAAAUUGACAAUUCUUCGCAUUCUUCAAUAACAAGCAUCUCCAAUGCAUGAAGGUGCUCUGGAAAUGUUCCUUGCAGUUUAGAACAUCUUAAAAUGUGAAGCUCUCUCAAUUUAGGAAACUGUUCAACUCCCUGACUGGAUCCAUGAGGAAUCCAGUCUUCCCAUUCUUGCAUGUCUUCAAAACGAAGAGUCUCCAAGCAUGGAAAAGGAGUUGGAGAGUCAUUCCCAUAUAACUCUGAACCCAAUCUCUUUACUCUACUCAUUCCACGCACUGUAAGAUGCUUUAGAGAGGGCAGUUGCCCGACAGACGGCAGGGCAGUGCACAUGCCGCAAUCUUCAAAUUUAAGUGUCACUAAAUUUGAGAAUGAGGAAUCUCCUAACCAUGUUGGAAAUUUUGUACCUCCAUAGCCACAGACACAAAAUUGUUCCAGAUUUUCAUGGGGUUUGAGCAUGUCAAGCAGGCCCAUUUCAGUUUCUGCCUCCCUUGAAGAUGAACCAUCGGUGCUGCAAGUCCAAUUAAGCGAUAAUUCUUUAAGAUUCUUCUUUCCAUCCAACCGAGCCUCCUUUGCAUCACCAAUGUCUUUUACAUUCUCUAAUUUUGAAAUUUUAAGUGUCCCCUGAAGAUGCAUCAAUGACUUUAGCUCUCGUAACCCAGAACCAUUGUCUUUUCCCACAACAAAAUUACUCAACGUCUGAAGACAAGUCAGCUUACCAAUUCCUACUGGCAUUUCCUCCAACGAAUCUGUAUUUGAAUUAUUGAGAUGAUGCAAUUUGAUGAGGUUUCCCAUGGCUGCACACAACUUCUUCAGUCGCCGACAGUCUUCCAACAGAAGGGUGUGCAAAUUGUAAAGCUUGCUGACUGAUUCAGGCAGAGUUUUAAUCUCAGUUCUAGACAGGUUAAGGUGCCUUAAAUACCUCAAAUCACCAACUGAAUCCGGCAGCUCGGAGAUGUGAUAUCCACGCAGAGAGAAGAUCCUCAAUCGUUGGAGUUUGAACAACUCAGUAAGAAUGCUAGGAGCCAAGUAUCCAUCCAAACUAUUCGACAACAUUACUGGUAAAAAAGUUCGCAAAUGUUGGAUAUCAUACAAUUUCUCAAACCUUUGAACGCCAUCACAAUCUCCACGAAUGUAUGAUAGAUGACAAAGAUUUCUAGAAAAACAUUGUUGCUUGUUAACCUCCGAGGUAUACUCCAGUGUGAAGUAUGUCUCCCCUGCAGCCCAACGGGCAAGAUCGUUGAUAAGAUCGUGCAUAACAAAUCGUGAUGCAUCGGUGGCCGAUUGCUGGAAAAAAGAUCUUGAACGUAGCUCCUUAAAGAAAUCACGACCUAAAUCUUCACUAGGAUUCUCAACUUCUUUGUGAUCCAAAAAACCGGAGGCACACCAUAAUAAAAUUAUCUCCUCCUCUUCAAAUUCAUAAUCCUUUGGUAACAAUGAGCAGUAUGCAAAGCAUUGUUUCAAAGUUGGAGGAAGAUAAUAAUAGCUCACCGCAAGGGCUGGUAUAAUGCGGCAUCUCUCUUCUGGUAAUUCCCAUAUCUUGCUACUGAGCACACGUUCCCACUCACGUCUGUCAUGUUCUCCACGUAAAAGUCCUCCAAGUGUCUGUGCUGCCAAGGGCAAGCCAUCGCAUUUGGUCACUAUCUUCCUGCCGAUUUCCUCCAAUGACAUAUGUGAACUGAAAUCUCGCGUCCCCAAAGAAUGUUGAGCGAAUAUAGCUAGACAAUCAUUAUAUGACAGCUUUUUUAAUUGAUAAGCUGGAAGAGUCCCCAUGAUUUUUGCAACCUCAUGAUUGCGAGUACUGACAAUAAUCUUACUUCCCUGUGCACUUGCUCCAAGCGGACGGCUGAAGUCAACCCAAUCAUCGUAAUUCCGGUUCCAUACAUCAUCUAAAACAAGCAAAAAUUUCUUUCCAGAUAGUUGCUUAUUCAGUUCCUCUUGAAGCUUAUUCAAGUUGAGAUUAUCCACAUUCUGGUGAGUCACGAUGGAUGUCAAGAUUGUUUUUGUUAGCCUAAUAACAUCGAAAUCAUCUGAGACACAAGUCCAUGCCUUGAGAUCGAAAUGAUUCUGCACUCGAUCAUCAUUAUAGGCAAGCCGAGCAAGAGUAGUUUUGCCCUCCAACAGAAGGGUGUGCAAAUUGUAAAGCUUGCUGACUGAUUCAGGCAGAGUUUUAAUCUCAGUUCUAGACAGGUUAAGGUGCCUUAAAUACCUCAAAUCACCAACUGAAUCCGGCAGCUCGGAGAUGUGAUAUCCACGCAGAGAGAAGAUCCUCAAUCGUUGGAGUUUGAACAACUCAGUAAGAAUGCUAGGAGCCAAGUAUCCAUCCAAACUAUUCGACAACAUUACUGGUAAAAAAGUUCGCAAAUGUUGGAUAUCAUACAAUUUCUCAAACCUUUGAACGCCAUCACAAUCUCCACGAAUGUAUGAUAGAUGACAAAGAUUUCUAGAAAAACAUUGUUGCUUGUUAACCUCCGAGGUAUACUCCAGUGUGAAGUAUGUCUCCCCUGCAGCCCAACGGGCAAGGUCGUUGAUAAGAUCGUGCAUAACAAAUCGUGAUGCAUCGGUGGCCGAUUGCUGGAAAAAAGAUCUUGAACGUAGCUCCUUAAAGAAAUCACGACCUAAAUCUUCACUAGGAUUCUCAACUUCUUUGUGAUCCAAAAAACCGGAGGCACACCAUAAUAAAAUUAUCUCCUCCUCUUCAAAUUCAUAAUCCUUUGGUAACAAUGAGCAGUAUGCAAAGCAUUGUUUCAAAGUUGGAGGAAGAUAAUAAUAGCUCACCGCGAGGGCUGGUAUAAUGCGGCAUCUCUCUUCUGGUAAUUCCCAUAUCUUGCUACUGAGCACACGUUCCCACUCACGUCUGUCAUGUUCUCCACGUAAAAGUCCUCCAAGUGUUUGUGCUGCCAAGGGCAAGCCAUCGCAUUUGGUGACUAUCUUCCUGCCGAUUUCCUCCAAUGACAUAUGUGAACUGAAAUCUCGCGUCCCCAAAGAAUGUUGAGCGAAUAUAGCUAGACAAUCAUUAUAUGACAGCUUUUUUAAUUGAUAAGCUGGAAGAGUCCCCAUGAUUUUUGCAACCUCAUGAUUGCGAGUACUGACAAUAAUCUUACUUCCCUGUGCACUUGCUCCAAGCGGACGGCUGAAGUCAACCCAAUCAUCGUAAUUCCGGUUCCAUACAUCAUCUAAAACAAGCAAAAAUUUCUUUCCAGAUAGUUGCUUAUUCAGUUCCUCUUGAAGCUUAUUCAAGUUGAGAUUAUCCACAUUCUGGUGAGUCACGAUGGAUGUCAAGAUUGUUUUUGUUAGCCUGAUAACAUCGAAAUCAUCUGAGACACAAGUCCAUGCCUUGAGAUCGAAAUGAUUCUGCACUCGAUCAUCAUUAUAGGCAAGCCGAGCAAGAGUAGUUUUGCCCAGCCCACCAAAACCUACAAUAGGUAUAACCGAGAAUCCACCAUCAUUUCUCAAAUCAUCCCUCAACAACAAUUCAACAAUUUCCUUCUUAUCUGUUUCCCUGCCAUAGACGUUGGCUCCAGUCACUACAGAGGUUGUCUCUAGCCUUUGACUGGCUUUUUUGGACCCUCCAGCUGAACUUACGUUCAAACCCAGCGAGUCCUUCUGUGUCACAAUUUCUUGAAAUCUGUCGUUGAUCUCUUUGAUUUUGGACAUCAUGGCGUAAUCGAACUGAAUCAAUUGUGGUGUAAAAGUGGUGCAGCAAGUAGGAAUGAGCUUCCGAAACUUACUUGUUCUUGUACGACUGCUACUGGGUUGAUCCUGAGCAGCAGCUGGAUCUCCAUUUCCAAGCAGCAACUUCCUCCGGAAAGCCUCAGUUUGAAACUCAUCCAACAAGUCUUCAACAUCAAAAGCCAAGUUCUGAAGCUCGCCAAGCCACAAUUUCACAAUCUCAUCAGUCCUCUUCUUCUCCUCAGCAUCAGCAAGCACCGCCUUGAUCUUCAAAAGCAUCGUCUUCCACUUCAUUAGAUCGGCCCGGAUUUGAUCUUGGCGUGGAAACAACCGAAUCCCCACUGAAGCUAACUUAUUGACCAACAACUCAACGGUCGCCGUCAGGAUUGCCUCUCCGAUGACUGACAUAUUUUUUUCUUUUUUUUUUGGGUGGAAAGAAAGAAACAGAACUUUAAGUUUUGGAAAGCAAAAUGAGAAAAUUGAACGGUAAGUGUGGAGAGUCAAGCAAAAUGCGCGUCACGAGUCUUCCACUUGUCGUUUAUUCCAGUAAAGUGAAAAUAAAAACAGAGCCCACCACCCAUUAAUAAUUUAGCAAUUCACCAAUCACCGGUCAGGCGGUCACCACCACUUGUUACCAGAUUAAAUUAAUAUAAAUCGCGUGUGGAUAUUUGUAGGGUCAAGCAACUGCAACAUUAAUCCAGUGUCCGGGUAAAUGCUGAAUAAAGAGGAAAAUGGAAUGUAUCUACUACGAACCUUCGCUUUACAAGUCUUCAAAGUCAUAAACUGUCAAAACGUUUCUCUCUCUGACUUCAAAGUCCUACAAUUUUUUUAUAAUCACACAAUGAUAAUUUCAAUUAUCAUGUUAUAUUAAUAUCGUGUUAAAAUAAAUUAUAAUAAAAUUUUAGCCGAAUAUAAUAAAUUUGACUUAUUUAUUAAAUAUAUAUAUUUAAUAAAAUAAUAACACAAUUAAUAUGUUAUCAAUCAAAUAAAAACUCUAAUGUGAAAACAAAAACUUUCCCACCACCAAUAAUUUAGCAAGCUUCAGUGCUUCACUUUAUUACACUAAAGUGAAAACAAAAUCGGCCCCCACCACCAUCAAUAAUUAAGCAAGCUUCAAAUGCCUGUGCUUGUCUGCUUGACGAACUGAGCAUGGGUGGACCAAGCAUCAUUGAGCAAUUCGAAAAAAAUUAAAAAAAAAAAUAAUCAGUGCCCAGCUAAGAGAAUCCAUCUUUAUGUGUUGCUUCCUACUUAGUACAUCUACUGAUACGCACAUCUAUCUAACAUUUAGAAAAUGGAAGUAGAAAUUGGAACUCACUUUAUGGCUCGUAUGCAAUGCACGUAUCAACAUUUAAUUAGAGUUACGUGUGUGUGUCUAGUUUUAAUUGAGAGAUAAAUUAAACAUAAAUACUUAGAUGUUUCUAAAUGAUUGAAUAAUGAUAUUAUUGAUAUUUAUAAAUUUCUAAGAUGCGAUAAUUAUGUGGGGGACAUAUAUUUAUGGUUAUAGAAAAUGGUGGUAAAAAUGGUACAAAUCUAAUAUAAUAAAAAAGUAUAAAUUGCAGUAAAUUAAUGUUCACCUCAAAGUACGUUAUAAAUAUCACUUUUCUUGUUACGUUAUUUGCUCCCACUGAUUGAAUUAUGCAUAUGGAUUAAGCAAAUAUAUAUUUAGGAUACAAUAAAGCGCUGAUUUGUUUGUUUACAUUGUACAUCAAUGAUAGCAAACAUCAAUAUUGUUGAAUGUUAUAAGUCUACCGAGAAUUAAUAUAUUAUUCUUACAAAAAAAUAAUAUGUUGGAUAUUUGAUGCAUAAAAAAUAAAUAUUAAUUGAUGAAAUUCUUUUGAAGAAAGAGGACUACAAAAAAAUGGUUUAGAAUCAUUUUAUUCAUGUCUAAUUGACAUUUAUUUUUAUGAAUGUGAGGGUAUUUUGGUAAUUUUAUGGACACAAGAGUUGUGUGUUGUGGAUAGAUGUUCGUUUUGAACUACAUUGCGUGCAGUUAGUCGUAUUUCACAUUUAUGAAAAGUAACUAUGUCGUUUCCUUGAUUAGGAGAAACUGCGAGUGAGAACCAAACCGCGAAUAUGAACGAUAGUCGAGUUUAAGCAUUGUCACUAUGAAUGAAAUAUGCAAACUCAUUUUCAUAUUUUAUUAUGAUUUUAGAGUGUAGUAAACCAUGUUUGUAAAAUAAGAUUUUAAUGCUCUAAUUUAAUGAUUUCUAGAAUAAAUUUGAUUUACGUAUUGGUACAUUAUUAAAAUUUUAUGAAUAUUGGUUUUCCCUAUCGAUUUUGAGUAAAGUAUAAUAGUAUUUUGAAGAAAAUAAAAGUAAUUUAAAGUAUGUUAAUGGAAAGAAAAGAAGACUUAAUGUACGAUUAAAAAUGUGUUAUGUAUGUGUAUAAAAAUUUGUUAUUAAAAAUCAUGAGACAAAACCCUCUCCCUCUAGUUAUAAUGAUACAACUUAGAUGAGAGCCCUUCGGGGCCCCUCUGAACACAUAGAGAGGUUAAUAGGCCGUGUUUUUUAGUGCUUUUACCUUUUGGAAGCUUAUGCAUGCUGUAUGAUAAUAAAAGAGAUUCAAGAUACAGAUAAUAUAGAGGCCUUUGAGUCUGUCUGAGUGCGCAUAGAAGCUUUGAAUCAAAUACUUGGGUAUUUUUGUCCUUUAAGGACUAUUUUAUGUAUGCAGUAUGAUGAGAUAUGAUGAUAUAUAUGAGAUAUCACUUCAUUGAUCUAUCCUUUCAUACCAAAUUAAAAAUUGUUCGUGUUAUUGAUGAAAAUCAUGAUAACAUUAUUAGAGAGCUUUUUUUUUUUCUUUUUUCCCUUCCCCUUUUUCUGUUUUGUCCUUUUGUUUGAUUGGGCGUAAUGAAACAGAUAUAACAAGGGACCAAGCAUGACCUAUAUAUAUCUUCAACAAGCAAGGAAACAAGGGAUUGAAUUUGAUGUGUGAUGGUUAUCGAAGCCAGCAAAAAUAAAUACCUACUCUAAAUAAAUUGUGUAUAGUGAUUGAGUAGGGGUCGUGUCCACAGAGAUCGGUAAUUAUUUAAAUCCUUUUAAAAUGUAAAACGUAAAAUGGGGGAAUUGUUGACAAUAAUAAAAAUCAAAUUAAAAUAAUAAGAAUGCAAAUUAAAGUUGUAAUUCAAAUUGGAGAAAGCUCUAGUUGAAGGAAUUAACUCAACUUGAUUUGACUACUGAUCAUUGAUCCAAAUAUAAAUUAUUAUUACUUAUGAAUAGAUUGUAGUAUUACUGAUCAUUGAAGGAAUCACAAUUGUAUCGUUUCUGCAACAUCUUUCUCUCACAAGGUAAUAGAUUGUAGUAUUUCAUACCAAAUUAAAAUUUGUCCAUGUUAUCGAUGAAAAUCAUGAUAACAUUUUAGAGAGCUUUUUUUUUCUUUUUUCGCUUCCCCUUUUUUUGGUUGUUUCCUUUUGUUUGAUUGGGCGUAAUGAAACAGAUAUAACAAGGGACCAAGCAUGACCUAUAUAUAUAUCUUCAACAAGCAAGGAAACAAGGGAUUGAAUUUGAUGUGUCACAGCACAAUAAGUUAAAUCUUAAAUUUGGACAGACAAGACAAAUAUAGAAGCAUCUAAUCCACCAAAGGAGACUUGACAUAAAAAUAAAUACAGACACAAACAUAAACAUUUACUCCUCCAAUGAUUGUUUCAAUAUCUUUAUCCUUGAUAUUUGCUCACUUUUAUAAAAUAUAAAUCUGCUGGUAAAUUUUUUGUACCUUAAACAGUUUUCUGACUUAUGAGAAAAAAACUAUUUUAAAAAAAAUAUUACAGAGAAAAAUUAAAAAAAAACUGCUAAAGAGACAAAAUAAUGUCAGAAUGCUGACAAAAAUAAUGUUAAAAUUAACUCGUUUUAAUGUGUUGACAAUUGAGUAAUUAUUAUUAACUUAAGUUUGUUUAACUGCCAAUUGAGUGAUUAUUAGGCCGAAUUGAUAAAGAACUUUUAAUAAUAUAUGAAAUCUCUUUUUUCAUCAAUCAUGUCUCAAAAUGGUUGGCGAGUAAGCAAUGUUUGGCUUGUCCAACUGCAUUGUCGUGGCCUUGAUAUUUUAACCUAAUAAUGCAAUGAGGUGAUGAUCUCAUUUGCUUUAUCUAUAAGUUAUCCCGAUUUAAUUUAAAACAGAUGUUUCAUUCCCUGUUGUUUGAAUUUUACAAGUUUUUACUGUAUGUACAGCAGUUAUUACCCUUACAAAUUUAAUUGGCAGUUUAAUCGUUAAGCAUGAAUAAUGAUAUGAUCUAACAUACAACUUUAUGUUUAGAGUGAAGUACCCAUAUUUAAAGGUUCAAUAAUAUAUGAAAUCUUUUUUUUCCUUCAAUAAAAAUAUAUAUCUCCCACGUAUAAUCUUAAGUGAGACGAACGUAACGCGCGUCUGUAUGUCUCUAUCCAAUAAAAUUUUCUCCCAUAUACAUCCAAUUUGAAAUAAAUCAAUGGUGAUAGUGAUAUUAUUAUGAGAGUAAAAUUACGAAACACAUGACAUGAUUUUAUUAAAUAAUUGUACCUUUAAAUCUCUGUCUUGGUCAAAAAAUUUUUUAGUCACUUUCUUUUAUGUCAAUAAAAAUUAGCUUUUUUUUCUUUUUUCUCUUUAAAAGAAGAGAAUAACAAUGUUUUAAUGGAGAAUAACAAUGUUUUAGAUCAUUGUUUACAAUACAUGGAUAAACUGGGUAAUUAGUUAAAGACCUGUAAACCAAAAAUGGAUUUAUGUAUUCAUCUUAUCUCCACAUUAUAUGUUGAUGCUUUCAUUUCUACUUGUCCUUUAGUUUCUUCUCAGUGCAAAUGCCAGGAUAGGUGGAACAACAUUUCCAAUGUGCAUUGGUUCUGGCCAAAUUUUUCAUUUAAACAGUUGCACGAACCUUGAUCCAGUGUUGAUCACAAUCUUGUAAGAAGAUACGCACAAAUCUUAUAUCAGCACUAAAUCCAAAUCUCAAUAGCAGAUAUCAAAAUAGCAAUAAGACUUACUCGAGAUCAAUCGUACAUUCACAAACUUUCACCGAUUGUAUCUCUCACUGUUAUUGCACGGAAAUGAGCGCCAUUUGGUAACUUGGCAUUAAGCUCAGGACCGGCAAAGACGUGCAUUGGUUCUGGCCAUUCCGGCAUUGUUUCCUCAGGUGAAGCUGCCCAUAUGAAUGAUUGUUUACGACAUGGAAACACAUCGUGUGCUGCUGCUUCCAAUGCAUCAGACCUCACCUAUAAUAACAACAAUAAAUAGAUGAAUAAUCUAAUCGGAGGUGAUUGUACAUAUACCGACAAUAGGGUUUAUUUUAACUAUGACACAAUUGCACAACUAAUUCCCAUAUUAAGGCUCAAUUUAGGACUGGUUCGGCAAUUAAAAAGUGUUUCGUAAGGACUUUCAAUUAUGAUUUGGAAGUUAAAGAUAAUUUUACUCAACAAUUGUUUGAUGAAAUUGUAUUAGAUCUUGGCCAGGACUUGACCGAGUGUUUUCGAUCAGCUUUCUUUGGCUAGUCACUCAAGUUUAAGCCCUGUAAGUGGUAUGAACCUAAGAAAUUGAUUCAGGCUUUUUGCACCACCCCACAACUUACUAUUUUUGCAAAUAUAUUUACUUUAAAAAUCAGGGCAUCUUGAUAGGCACCCCUCCAUGUUAAGUUAAAUGAAUAUCGGUGGGUGAGGUUUACAAUAAUAGACAGCAAUAACAUACCACAACUUCUUUAUGGACAUGCAAUCCAUCGGUCGUAGCAGAACUAGCUGACAGCGCCUACGGGGCACGUGCAAUUAUAUUUUGAUCAUGAUCAUCAUCUUCUUCUUGGUCUUCGCCUUCCGAUGUUCCUAUUUCUGAUGUUUCUCCACAUUUUCUUCCUCUUUUAACAACUUUCGUUGAAGAUUUUGACAGAAAUAUCAUUGUGAGAAGAGUAUUUCUAAAGUUUACAACUUGGAAAUGAGACCUUAUGUGAUAUGUACAUGAAGGAUAGAGUACAUGUCAGUAUUUAUAAGAAACAAUGUGAUGGUUUUAAAGAGGCUAGUGGUGGUUUUAAAGAAACUAAAUAAAGUUUAUUAUUUAAUAAAAAGCAAAAUACAAAUCUCGAAGAAUCCACUGUAUAAUCUGACAGGAUCUGGAAAACGGAUGCAUGACAAUAUCAUUACUUUGUAAGACUGGAUUAUUAUUAUAAAUUUUUAUCCAAAGAAAUUAAAUAAAGUUUAUUAUUUAAUAAAAAGUCAAAUACAAAUUCCGAAGAAUCCGCUGUAUAAUCUGACAAAAUCUGAAAAACGGAGGCACAUGUAUGGCAAUAUCAUUACUUUGUACGACUGGAUUAUUUUUAUAAUUUUUAUCCAAAGAAACUAAAUAAAGUUUAUUAUUUAAUAAAAAGUCAAAUACAAAUCUCGAAGAAUCCGUUGUAUAAUCUGACAAAAUCUGGAAAAUAGAGGCACAUUUAUGGCAAUAUCAUUAUUUUGUAUGACUGGAUUAUUUUUACAAAGUUUUAUCCAAUCCCUUGUUUAAUGCCAGUAAAUCAAUAUUUAAAUAUAUAGUUAUUUUAUUAUGUUAUUUGAUUUUAACUAUUAAUGUCAAUAUUGGAAUAUAUCUUUAUAUUGAACUAAUAAAACAACUGUAUAAAGACAUUUGAAUAAACUUAAUUACGAAUUUUGAAUUCAUGAUGUAAGAUAGCGUUUGCUUUUUAAUCUGAAAUUUGAGUGGGGUCUAAAUUUGGCUGAAAUAUGAAUAUCUUUAAACUGAAUAUGAUUAAAUGACAUGUUUAUUUUCUCUUUUUCAAUAUCCAAAUAUAAGUGGCAUCUUUUUUUUUUUUUAUAAAUCAAAAACAUCCAAAGUAUGAUUAUUUAACAUUUAUGUUUUUGUAAGAAUUAUUUAUACUUAUUAUCAAUUUUAAGAGUUAAAUACGUGCACAUUACAAUUAAAAUCAAACAUACGUAGAGUUGAGUAAUUGAUCUUUAAAUAAAAAUAUUAUUACAUUACUCCAAAUACAAAAUUGAUUCAAACUUAUUAUACUAAUUAAAAUGUGAAUAAAUUUAAAUUUAAAUUUAUAAUUUACAUCAUCUUUUUACCAUUUAAAAUUGUAAAAGUCCAUUCGCCCAAACCUAGUCUUAAUUAGCUGUACAUAAGUGUAAAGACCCAUAUGUUCUUAAAAAGUGUUAAGUUUUCAUAGACCCAUAAGUGAAUGGAGAAGUGUAAUGCCCCAAAUUCAAGCCAGAGUUAUAACUGUUGGCAGAUCUGUAUAAUCCUUUUAAAACAGUUCUCUAAUUAUAUUAAAAGACAAAAUAAAUCUAAUUAAAUUCUUAUAUUUCUCUCUCUCUCUCUCUCUUUCUCUAUAAGUUUCUUUUUCUACUUCAUUACUCCCACACAACUACACCAAAGUCUUUUAUAUUUUUUUUAUUUUCUCUCAAACACUUUGUAUAUUACAUAAUAACUAUUUAAGUCCAUUUUUAGUUCUACUCAAUUCAAGUAUAUAGAAUUUUCUUUUUAAUUAAAUAUAUAUGAUUUAAACUUUCAAAAUUUUGUAAAAACAAUGUCCCUAAUAUGAGGUUUGUGGAAGAAGUUAAAUAUUUUUUUAAUAAAAAAGAAACUGAAAUUUUAAAACAGAGAUUUUGAAAACUUAAAAUAGGUUUUGAGGGGGGGGGCUUGAGAAAAAAAAUUAUAAGGUGCUAUUAGUUCCACUCUUCAAGCAAAGAUACACAGACCUUUACUCUUCCAAAUAAAUUUUGCGGUGAAUUUUAUUGUUGGCUAAUGUACAGCAGUAAAAAAAAUAUAAGGUGCUAUUAGUUCCACUCUUCAAGCAAAGAUACACAGACUGCGAGGCUUCGAUGUGCGAUAAAUAUAAGGUGCUAUUAGUUCCCUCAUUACAAUGUUGAACAAUCAGAGUCGAGCAUCUCGACUCUCGUUUUGCAGAUGUAAUAAAAAAAGUGUCCAAGUUCAGUAAGACUAAUCCCACAGAAGUUGAAAGGUAUGUGGUGGUUCAUGGACAUAUCACACUCCAACAAUUUGCAGAGCUUCCUAAUAAAAGGAUCAGCAAGUGGGCAUUUGUGUCUGGUCUUUUUGGAAAAAUGGAGGAAAGACGCCACACCAGGUCUUUGGUGAAAAAAAAGGUGGUGCUGAAGAAGGAAAUAAAUUCAAAUCUGAGAGCAUAAAAAAAAAGAAGAUUCAAAGGAGGCAUAUAUCCGUGAAGUGAAAGUGGAUGAAGAACUCGAUGAAGAACAUGGAGAAAAUAGUGAGGAAGAUCCUGAAGACAUUAAAGUGGAACAGAUGCAAGUUGAUUUAUAGUUAACUGUUUUAUAAUUUCAAACAAAGAAGUAGAUGAUACUGACGUUGAAUUUUGCGGUGAAUUUUAUUGUUGGCUAAUCACGUUGAUAUGAGUGUGAAUAUAAAAAGGAUAAAACUUAUAAUAAAGAAUUAUAUGAACUAUAUUUUAAAGAGAAAAUAUAUUUUUAAAACUAUGAAAAUUUUCUUACAAAUAUGAGCUAGGGAGGUAAAUUGAAGAGGUUACAUAUCAUCAAUCUAGUUACUUCAGAAAAUGUGGCCCAAUGUCUUCAGAUGGGUUACUGUUGGUGUGUUACUAAGAAAUAGGCCGAAGUUGUAAAAAUAAAAAAUAAAAACAGUAGGUUUUCAUAUUAACAAAGAACAGUUAUUUCACAGAACCCAUGAAUAUCUCUGUGAUGUUGAUGCUUUCAUUUCUACAGCUUCCUUUAGUUUUCUCCCCAUUGCUUAGAGGUGGUUCAACUUGUAAACAACACCAAGGGCAGCAAAACAGAAAUUUUUUGGACAAUUCUGGAGAUCCGAAAUCAGUUGAAAGGUUUUCAAAAAGUUGUUGUUCAUCACAUUCCAAGACAAUGUAAUGCUUAUGCCCACUCCCUAGCUAAGUUAGCUUUGGAAAGAAAUUCUUCUUCUAUGUGGCUAGGAACUAUUCCAGCUGAGAUUCAAGUUGUAUUUGAGGUGUUGUGAUUUAUGAAAGGUUUACUUUCUUUUCAAAAAAAAAAGAAAAAAGAAAAUACUGCUGUACGGCCAAGGCGGAUGUACGGUACAGCAGAAAACAGUAGGUUUUCAUAUUAACAAAGAACAGUUAUUUCACAGAACCCAUGAAUAUCUCUGUGAUGUUGAUGCUUUCAUUUCUACAGCUUCCUUUAGUUUUCUCCCCAGUGCAAACGCCAGAGGAGGUGGAACAGCAUUUCCAAUCUGCCGAUGCUUGUGUUGGAUGUCACCAACAAAUUUAUAGCUAUCGGAGAAACCCUGCGGGAAUCAAGAGAGCAGGGUAACAUGACAGCAGAAACAGUUGGCAAAAUUUAUCUUGUUUGAUUAAAAAAUUAGCUUGUCAAGUUAAAAGUGUCACCGGUGCUGCAUGAAAAUUAUUUUUGGUUAUUCUGGUUUUUCAUCAUUCCAACUAACUGCAGGAUAUUUACAUAUAUAGCCAAAAGGACUUACUUGUGAUCGAGCACACUCACGAACUGUGAUUAUUCUAUCCUGAUCUGGGUGAAAACACGUUCCGACCAUACCCAUCGGAUGAGGAUCAGUAACGGAGGUUGGAAAGUUUCCUUCCCGGUCCAACCUUCCGAACAGACCCUUCCAUUGAUUAUGCUUUUCAGCUGUAUUGGGUAAGCACCAGGGAGUCACGACAUGUCAUAUGUUGAGUCUGUAGUAGCACGACAUGUCAUCUGAUAAGCAUUUGGAACAAAACCGACAUGAGCCAAAAUGUCGUUCUUUGUUUAAGUAGCUCACGUGUUUGGCAUGUGAGCUGAACAAGACUCUUACUCUCAGAAACGACUGAACCAGAAGCCGUUUUGAGCAUGCUUAUUCAAGACACGUUGCAAGCACGUGACUGAGGCUGAAUCUGUUAUGUUAGCGGGAAAAGCCGCUGAGGAAGGCAUCUAGAAUCAGUUAAUAAAGAGCUGGAGUUCUGGGUUUUUCACAACGGGCCAGAAAACAGAGAGAGAGCAAGGAAGAGGGAAUGCGAGAGAGAGAGUUCUGAAUAGGCUUGUAAUCUCCAUUUGUGUUUGCUCUCUGUAAACUCUUGAACAAAGCAAUAAAGUGAAAUCACAGAGUUUGUUUCCAGUGGAUGUAGGCAUCAUUCAUUUGGUGCUGAACCACUUUAAUUCGUGUGUGUUUUGUUCUUGAUCUAUUUGUUAUUCUUGAUUCUUAGUAGGUUGACUUCUUCUUGGUUGAAUCUUGAGUAUAAACCAGUGAGUGAAGUGUUCUUGGGGUGGGUUUAGUCUUGAUAGUUAGGGCUUAAAACACAACAGUAUCUCUAUUGCACGAAAAGGAGCACCAUUUGCGGUGCUUCGAACAGCAGCAUAAUGGGAAUUUCUAGCUAACUUGACCUUUAGCUCAGGGCCAGUGAACACAUGCAUUGGCUCAGGCCAUUCUGGAAGGGUUUCCUCAGGUGAUGCUUCCCAUAUGAAUGCACGUUUACGAGACUGAGACAUGCCAUAUGCUUCUGCUUGCAGGACACCAAAUCUCACCUACAACAACAAAUUAAAUGAAUAAUUUAUAUAAGCUGCAUGAUACUUUCACAAUUUUCCGAUUAAAUUGACUAAUUAAAUGGAGAAACAAAUUCAGGGAAUUUUGAUAGGUACCCCUCUAUAAAGUUAUGAGUGAGUAAAUAAAAAAUGGUAUCUACCUGAUAACCCAUCUGGAGGAGAGAAGCCAUAGUUAAGCGAAAUGUUUGCCCUUUGUUAAAUGAUGUAAAGUUCCUUACAUUCUCCAGAAGGAAAAAUCUGGGGCGGAAAUAAUCAGCAAAAGACAACGAUGCUAAGAUCAUUUCACAUUGAACUUUGCUCCAAGAGCCUUGAUUAAACCUAUUCAUUCCAGAAAAUCCCUGGAAAUAACAAAGAACCAAUAGCUAAACUUUAUAGGUCUAUUGUACACAAUUACUGUUAGAAUUGCUUACAAAAUAAAUCCUAGAAGUAGGCUGGAGGAUUGAUCGAUGUACCUGACAAGGAGGCCCUCCACUGAUGAAAUCCACUUGUCCUGGCCGAGGCAAAUUCUUAAUUGUCACUUCAUCAAGUUCUGCUGCUAGCUCAGCAGCUUCAGGAGUUGAAAUACAGUCAUCAGUAUCCCCACAUGCUGACAUGAUAGCCCUGCAUUUGAUUCAUUGAUUUAUUGAAGAUAUAAGAGUUGAUUUCAAAGCAAUUAUCACCGAAUCGAACACAAAGCCAUGAGUUAUUAUACUUAAAUGAAAGCAAACAUCAACCUCAGGAUCACAUUGCAGUUGUUAAUAAACACCAAAGCUUCUGGAUGAUUAACCUUGAAUGUUUCUCUUGCUGGUUGCUCAUACUCUAUUGCCCAGUUGGUUAUCGACAGUUCGACACACCUUUAGUUGCAUAUUUGUCAGUCACAAUAGACCUAAAUCGGUUUACUUGCUCACGGAACUUUGAAAGUUACCUGCUUGCUGUAGGCCAUCAGAUAAGCCACCACAACCUGCGAAAAUAUCUAUGGUGGCUAAGCGAUUCUUAUUCACAGCAUCCGUCUGUUUGUCAACAGCACCAUCAUGCUUUUCCUCUUUACAUUUCCCAUUUAUCUUUCUAUAAGCAGUAUCAUCAGACACCCUCUCUUUUAGCACACUAGUCUUGAUGUGAGGCGGCAACUGGCCAUUAUGCAGUCAUUACAGUGGGCAUAAGAAGAAACCACAGUUUAAUAAACAUAAUUCACAUGAAUCUAGUUAAGGAAACCAUGCUUCUUUCUAAUGUCACAUUUGCCUUCUAUUCCAGUAACAGGAACUGUCAAUACUAGUUUACUGUAAUAAGCCUAAAGAGUCAAUAGCAAAGAAACUGUGUAUAAGAUCCACAAUAACAUAAUAACGCCAAAAAGUCAAAUAGAAACUUUGUAUCUUAUCUUUGUAUAACAUAAGAUCCACUUUCACUUCACGGAUAUAUGCCUCCUUUGAAUCUUCAGGCAAAUAAUUUGAGUAAAACUCUUCCCAAAUUCUCUUUAUCAAUCUCGUGGUUGUUGCUUGCAUUACCUUGUUUUUUGAUGCUCUCAGAUUUGAAUUUAUUUCCUUCUUCAGCACCACAUUUUCUUCACCAAAGACCUGGUGUGGUGUCUUUCCUCCAUUUUUUCAAAAAGACCAGACACAAAUGCACACUUGCUGAUCCUUUUAUUAGGAAGCUCUGCAAAUUGUUGGAGUAUGAUAUGUCCAUGAACCACCACAUACCUUUCAACUUCUGUGGGAUUGGAAGAAAUAUAAGCAGGAUUAGUCUUACUGAACUUGGACACUUUUUUUAUUACAUCUGCAAAACGAGAGUCGAGAUGCUCGACUCUGAUUGUUCAACAUUGUAAUGAGGGCAAUAGCAAGCCUCGCAGAUUUUAGAACUGGUUUGUACCACGCUGCAUACUGCUUUGAUGGCCUUCCAAGCCUAUACCUGAAAACAAAUUCGCAAAUUUGAUAAGAACUAACACUGACAGAAGAUAAAGAGGACAAAAAGGCAAGCUUAAUGUUGCGGACCGCCCAAUUCGCUAGCCCAAUUUGCUCACCAAGAGCCCAACACAAGGCCAAGAGUGCUAGCUUGGCCCGAUUCCGGAAAGUUCUAGGCAACUCUAGCACAUUAAGCUUGUAAAUACUCUAGAAUUCUCUAUACAAUUCCAGCACAUGUAAAUAGCUAGGAAGUGGUAGAAUUCUCUAGAAUCUCUAGAGCUUGGCAAGCCUCCCCUGUAAAUAUGGGAUGGCAUUAAGCAUUUGAACACAACAACAAGCUUAGAGCAAGCAUUCUUGUAAUCUCUCCUUUGUGCAAUACAAUUUCUCUUAUUUGGCUCCAUUGCUCUCUUCUCUAGUUCGAGAAGCUCAAGGCUUACUUAGCAACAUUCGGCAAAGUUGUCUAAGUGCCGCACGGGUUAGCUGCACAAAACACUCAUCCCGUGACAAGUGGUAUCAGAGCUAAGGUUUGCACACGCAAGUUAGCUCACGGGCAAUGGCCAACCCUUCGAACGUAGCACAAGAGGGUGUUGUUGGUGUGGAUAUUCCACCGGAACCAAGCCGCAGCUGUGAGGGAGAGCGCGCCCAAGGCAAGAUUCGCGGCAAGUCCAAGGCCCCAUCCAUGGAUGCGUUGGAGCCUCGUGUGACUACUCUCGAAAUUGCAUUAUCCGCCGCUUAAGACAGCCUCGAGGGAUUAAAGGAACGAGUGGACGGUCUCGAGGGAAAAUAUGCCGAGUUCACGAUGGCAACCAAGGCCCUCAUUCAAGAACAAGCAAAUACUCUUCGAGGUGAGUUUCGUUUCUUUCAUGAUGAGUUGCUCAAACUUCGUAGCUUUGUUCAGGAUGAACUACGCAGUGUCCGUGCGGAAGUAGAUGAAGUCCGCUCGGAUUGGGCAUGGCACAAGCGCACACUCUCCGUUAGUCCAGCUUCCACAAGCACAAGUGAUGCGCGCAGCAUUGACGUGCCAAAGCCCGACACAUACGAUGGCACACGCAAUGCCACCAUCGUGGACAACUUCCUAUUUCGGCUUGAUCAAUACUUUGAUGCCAUGGGUGUACGAGAUGAGGCAUCGAAAGUGGGCACUGCACCCACCUAUCUUAGAGGCGCUGCCCAACUAUGGUGGUGUGGCAAGUAUGGUGAGAUGGGCAAGGGCAUUUGCACCAUCGACACUUGGGCCGACUUCAAACAAGAACUCCGAAAGCAGUUCACCCCAAGCAAUGCGGAGAAGGAAGCGCGAGCGCGCUUACGUCGCCUCAAGCAGUCGGGUAGCAUUCGGGACUACAUCAACAAGUUCACUACCCUUAUGUUGGAGAUAAGCGACAUGUUCGACAAGGAUUCGCUCUUCUACUUCCAAGAUGGUCUCAAGAAUUGGGCCAAGACCGAGCUUGAUAGGCGUGGUGUUCACCGAUGCCAUCGCCGUUGUAGAGUCGCUCACCGAAUACUCUAUCCAAUCCAAGGACAAAAAGGCCAACCAAGGCAAAGGUGGGGGAGAAAGUCGCAAGGACAAAGACAACAACCGCAAAAAUAGGGGGCAGAAAAAGCCGCCUAGCAGCAAGAGCGGGCAAGGAAAAUCGGAGGGCAAGAAGGAGGCGCCAAAGCCGCGAAGCCCAUGCUUCAUAUGCAAUGGUCCUCAUUGGGUACGCGAUUGUCCGGAGAAGAAGUCGCUCAACGCUUUUGCUGCUCAACUCAAGAGCAACCCCACAUUGUCCACGGAGGAACCCCAACUCAGCAUGGAUUCUCUCCAACGCCUAGGCGCACUCAAUAUCCAACAGCCCGUCCUCGUCAAGAAAGGGCUCAUGUAUGUCAGCGCAAAGAUAAAUGGUCAGUCCGUUCGCCCGUUGCUAGACACGGGAACAACGUACAAUUUCGUGUCCGUAGACGAGGCCAAGCGCUUAGGCCUCAAGGCCACCAAGGAAGGAGGCACAAUGAAGGCUGUGAACUCACCCGCCAAGCCAAUUGCGGGAUACUUCCAAGAUGGCCUCAAGGAUUGGGCCAAGACCGAGCUUGAUAGGCGUGGUGUUCAAACACUUGACGACGCCAUUGCCGUUGCGGAGUCGCUCACCGAAUACUCUACCCAAUCCAAGGACAAAAAGGCCAACCAAGGCAAAGGUGGGGGAGAAAGUCGCAAGGACAAAGACAACAACCGCAAAAAUAGGGGGCAGAAAAAGCCGCCUAGCAGCAAGAGCGGGCAAGGAAAAUCGGAGGGCAAGAAGGAGGCGCCAAAGCCGCGAAGCCCAUGCUUCAUAUGCAAUGGUCCUCAUUGGGUACGCGAUUGUCCGGAGAAGAAGUCGCUCAACGCUUUUGCUGCUCAACUCAAGAGCAACCCCACAUUGUCCACGGAGGAACCCCAACUCAGCAUGGAUUCUCUCCAACGCCUAGGCGCACUCAAUAUCCAACAGCCCGUCCUCGUCAAGAAAGGGCUCAUGUAUGUCAGCGCAAAGAUAAAUGGUCAGUCCGUUCGCCCGUUGCUAGACACGGGAACAACGUACAAUUUCGUGUCCGUAGACGAGGCCAAGCGCUUAUGCCUCAAGACCACCAAGAAAGGAGGCACGAUUAAGGCUGUGAACUCACCCGCCAAGCCAAUUGCGGGGUUUGCACAAGGCGUGCACAUCACGCUCGGUACGUGGAGCGGAAAGCUUAACUUCUCCAAUGUGCCCAUGGACGACUUCAAGAUGGUCCUCGGCAUGGAAUUCUUCGACCAAGUCCAUGCCUUCCCGCUGCCCGCUACAAACUCCCUGAUCAUCCUCGACGGGAGUAAAGCAUGCAUGGUACCCACGGAGCGAGGCAAGUCCGAAGAGAAGACACUCUCCGCCAUGCAAUUCAAAAGGGCUUUCAAGAAGGACCCAAGCUUCUUGGUCUCCAUCCAGGAACUAAACGAGGAAGGAGAUUGUGGAAACAAGCCAAGCCAAGUCCCUCCGCAAAUGCAAAAAGUCCUCAACGAGUACAAGGACGUGAUGCCUCCAGAACUUCUGAAGAAGCUCCCACCUCGACGAGAGGUAGAUCAUGCAAUCGACCUGGAACAAGGCGCGAAGCCACCAGCCUUGGUGCCCUACCACAUGGCGCCACUCGAACUAGAGGAGUUGCGGAGAAAAGUCAAAGACUUGCUGGACGCAGGCUACAUUCGCCCCUCAAAGGCCCCAUUCGGCGCACCGGUCCUCUUCCAAAAGAAAAAGGAUGGAUCGCUGCGGAUGUGCAUCGACUAUAGGGCGCUCAACAAGAUCACCAUCAAGAACAAGUAUCUGAUUCCCUUGAUCGCGGACCGCCCAAUUCGCUAGCCCAAUUUGCUCACCAAGAGCCCAACACAAGGCCAAGAGUGCUAGCUUGGCCCGAUUCUGGAAAGUUCUAGGCAACUCUAGCACAUUAAGCUUGUAAAUACUCUAGAAUUUUCUAUACAAUUCCAGCACAUGUAAAUAGCUAGGAAGUGGUAGAAUUCUCUAGAAUCUCUAGAGCUUGGCAAGCCUCCCCUAUAAAUAUGAGAUGGCAUUAAGCAUUUGAACACAACAACAAGCUUAGAGCAAGCAACUCAAGCAUUCUUGUAAUCUCUCCUUUGUGCAAUACAAUUUCUCUUAUUUAGCUCCAUUGCUCUCUUCUCUAGUUCGAGAAGCUCAAGGCUUACUUAGCAACAUUCGGCAAAGUUGUCUGAGUGCCGCACAAGUUAGCUACGUAAAACACUCAUCCCGUCACAUUAAGCACUAGUACCACCACCAAACCUCUUGGUAGUAUAUGGAUAUUGAUGCAUACUAGGAAAUAUUUGUCCGAACUAAUAUGGAAACGAACGAGUAUCCAAAUUCGAUCAUCCAUUCCUGUAUUGCACUCAAGUAUACUGGUAUUCCCCCAACAUUCUCUGCUAUAAAUGAAGACUGAUCAAAAUUAGCAUCAACACAUAAUCCACUUGAAUCACUAGUUGUCAUAAUCCCGGACCCAAAGAUGGUAAUAUCAUUAUCAUCACAUGGUUUCAUUGGGAGGAGCUCCAAAGAAAUCAAUCGCGAAUCUGAGUUGUGAAGUGACCAAUUGUGAAGCAUUCUUCGAGGAAGCUCGUCAGGAUUAAUUGUAUCAAAGAUUAAAUAUUCAUCAUUUUCCUCCUCACUGGGCUUGUAAUAUGCAGGCAGAGGAUAGUCAUCAACAAUUUCAUCCUCAUUGAUUUUACUGCAGAACUUACUUGAUUAAGCAACUCUCCUCUGAGUUUUAUUAUGUUUCGUUGGUUGCCAAUUCUCCUCUUCCUGCAACAACCUUGCCAAUUUCAUAUCUUUGUCUUCUUCACCUCCAGAAGCAGAUGAACUAGAUUGAUUGUUUUGCACUUCUUCACCAAUUCUCAUACCUGUAUUUAUGAGACUGCUGGAUGCACUGGUUUCCAGAGUAAUUAAACUCCCUUGCUUCUUAGUUUCAUCUAGCAGUGCAAGGAGCACAGGCAAGUUCUCAAAGAUCUGAUCAUUUUUCUUGGAUGUCUCAUCUAAACCGAUGAGUUGAUUAUAUAUGAAUUCACCAUGUGAGAUUAUAAAUUCCUUCAUAGAUGUCUUGUGAGGAAAAUUCUUACUAUCACUCAUGGAACGAACAACUCCUGCAAGCAAUUCAUCGACAGUCUGAUUAGGGUUCCCUCCACAAGUCCUUGAAAGUUUUUUAUAGACCUCCACAGAGGCACGAGCCUUUUCAUGGAAAAGGUUAUAUAGCAUUUUAUAACUAUUAGCAGGUUUAACACAAUUAUAGUCUGCAUUGACAGUUGAAAUCCAAAAUACCGGUGAGCCUUCCUCAUAUCCAGAUAUUGCCCAAGAUUCAACUCGUCUGAAAUCUUCACAUCUAACACCUCUUUUGUAACACCCCAAAACUAACACGUGCAGAGCACGUGAAGAAGGAGGUUACUUAUAAAUCAUAAUCCUUACUCAUAAAUUCCAAACUGAAAUACCUCAAAUUCUUAUUCAUUUAUAUCCACAAAUUCAAACGUCCAACACUAAAUAAUCUCUCGCAAAACAUAACAAUAACAAAAGUCUCAAACUCUAAAUUACAAGUUCAUAACCGAAAUAAAUUGAAUAGAAACAUGAGUCUAUUCCUCUUCUUAUUCAAAUGGCAAAUGGAAAUGAAAAUUACUAACUCCAAAGCUAAGCGCACCUCUCAAAAGAAACUUAAUCUGCAAAAAGUAAUGACGAGGGGUGAGCCGUCAACUCGGUAAGUAAAACCAUUCCUAACACACUAGGCCUAUCGAUUCUAAAAAUAUUGCAAGCCUUCUUUUGUUUAAAACAUAUAUCAUAAUCCAUAAAUUUCAUAAAACGAUAUGUCACGAUAACAUAACAUAAAUUCUUAAUAAUUCAAAAAAUUCAAAAGCAUAUUUACUUGCGAAGCAAAUCAUAUAAUACGUAUACAGAAAACAAAAGGUUAGCUCAUGUCACAUAGUGUCACCUAUAGUCCCGGUGACCCGGCCAAAAACAGAAUCAGAAUAUCGUGUGCACAUUCAGAAUAUAGUCCCGGUGACCCGGCCAAAUUCACAGAAAACAAAAGGUUAGCUCAUGUCACAUAGUGUCACCUAUAGUCCCGGUGACCUGGCCAGAAACAGAAUCAGAAUCAGAAUAUCAUAUGCACACUCAGAACAGAAACCCAGUACUGGUCCAGACAGAUAUAUCGUAUAUUACGAUCAAAAUCAAAAUCAGAAUCAAAAUCAGAAUAACUAUAGACAAUGAGCCAAAUCAUUAGGAAUCCUAGUCCCGGUGACCUGGCCAGAAACAGAAUCAGAAUCAGAAUAUCAUAUGCACACUCAGAACAGAAACCCAGUACUGGUCCAGAACAGACAUAUAUCGUAUUAUACGAUCAGAAUCAGAAUCAGAAUAACUACAGACAAUGAGCCAAAACAUAAUGAUUUAUACGUGGCACUUUGCACUAUAUGUAGCACUUUGUGACGCUUUGACCUUCAAGAAGUGGCCCCCAUAUAGUCCCAAGAGGUGGCCCCCGUAUAAUCAUAAAGAAUUGAAAACAUUCAUAAGCACAAAAACAUUCGUAUCAGUUUCAUAAAUGUCCAUAACAACAAUUUAGGCUUGCAAAAUAUUUUAUAAAUAAAAUCAUAAAAGUAGGCAUGUAACAAAAUAACUUACAUAUUUAAAAAGCAUUUAUAAAAGACUUUGUACAAAAGAAUUUAGGUUUGAAAACAUUUUCAUAAAACUAAUUUUGUUAUGAAAAUCCGUUAAUUUUCUAAGUAGUAUAAAAACAUUUAUACUUAUAAUAAUAAUAUCAAAAUACUUAUACAUAUCCAGUAUACUAGGAAUGAAGUUGCUUACCUCGAACUAAAGAAUUUGAAUUAACACGCCUCUAAGCCUCUAAGAGCCUCAAUCACCUCCAACACCAAUUGCUUUGAUUCUCUUCUAAAUAAAGGCUUGAAUCCUAGGGUUUGGGUAAGAGUGUAAUGAGCAGUAGGGAAGAAAAUAAACGUCGUGGAUUUAGGGUUAUGGAAGGGGAAAAAUAUGAAUUUAUAGGAAGUCUUAAGUAACCCUAUUGAAUUUGGAAAAAUAAUCAUUUUCCAAAAUUAUCUCAUAAUUAACCCUUAUUUAUAAUUUAAUAUCCCUUUCUAAUAAGGGUUAUAGGCCACAGAUGAUUCUAAUGAAAGCCCAAUUUCCAUAAUUUAAUGUUAUGGAAAUUUGUGGCGUUACAUCUUUCCUUCUGUCUUCCACAACAUUUUUCAAGAGGCAAUAUAAGACCUAAAACGAACAAGUUUCCAACUUCCAACAUUUCAACAGACUUUAGGUUUCCACAAGCAUCAUGAAAGGCAAAUUCUGUUAGCCUUCGAUUUGUUCUAAAAUCAUCCUUUCCAGCGGUCAAGCUUUUUGCAACCUCUUCAUUUUCUGCAACAACUUCCCUUGUGCUUUCCACAAAAGAUGCACUUCGAGAGAAGGAAAGAGAUUUAUCCAUGAUAUUUAUACAUGCAGCAGUUCUCUUUGGCAUUUUCCAAGAAUUGGAUGCUUUUUCACUAUUUUCAUGUCUACUUCUCUUUUAUUUUCUGGUCGUCUCAGACUUCUCGUCUAUUGUAUUAACUUCAAUGGCAGAAGAUUGCUUUCCCUUAGCUAUUUUUUCCACAUCUAGAAAUAAGUAUCCAAUUAAAAACAGGAAUAAAAGCAAAUACUAUUAAACUCCAUGGUUACUUUGGUAUAUGAAGAAAUAAAACGACCAAAAAAGAACUCUAAUAGAAUAAAUAAGGAAACGAUCGAGUUUGGGAGUUAUAAUUAAUCAUCUAUUUUCUUUUUAUGUGGAUGAUAAAAUGGAAAAGGUAAGCUCACUCAAGUCAAUAAAGACUAAAGCAUAGGGUAACAACAUUCAGAAUCUACAAUAAGGUACUGACAUUCAGAAUCUAUUUUCACAAAUAAAAAGAAAUUUAAACAAUCAGAAAAGUGAGCAACUUAAGGACGACAUUGGUUACAUAUGCCAAAUGUGGUAGUCUGGGCAUUCAAAAUUAAUAAAGCAAUCUUUAAAUUAAUGCAUGUCUAGAACACUAUGAAGCAAGCUGCUGAGGAUUCAUCGUGCUAUAUACAGAAUGUCCUUAAUGGUGUUAUUAUUGUUGAGUAAUAGAAAGUACCAGCUUAGCCAUGCCCUCAUCUCUCAUCCUGAGGUGAACCUCCUCAGCUGAAUGACACGAGAAGAGUCCUGGUAAAACUUCUUAUCCUGGCAUGUGCCAACUAGAGACGAGCACCGACCAGAGAAAUAUACCGACCAGAGAUAUACACCGGCCAGAUGAUCGUCAUCUAAAAAAAGAGCACACGAUUUCACGUAAUCGCGACAGUUUCGUUAUGCCCCGAACCGUCAGGAAAGACAUGGCAUCCCACGUUUACCCACAAUCCAAGAGUUGGAGACCCAUGGGGGUCUGCCAUCACCCGAAAAAAGGAGGGCAUGAAGGAUACACAGAAACGUGGGGCCACACUACGUUUCAGAAAGUCAUAAUUUUAGAAAGUUGUGGGAUUGACAAAGUAUUAUUCUAAAAUUAUGAAAUUGGACCUUUUUGCAAACUUUCAUAACGUUUUGGGCCACACUACAGUUUUAUAAAGUUUUGGGGUCAAACUAUAAAUUUAGGAAAAUGUUCACUGUAGCAGUUACUGUAGCAAGCGGAAAUCCGGAUUCUGACAAACGAAAGUCUGGAUUUUGGGCAGAAUCUAUCCGAAUUAAAAGCGGAAAUCCAGAUCCUGACAAAAGGAAAUCCGGUUGUUGGGCAGUAAGCUAUUGAGCGUAAGCGGAAAUCUAGAUGUGACAAAGCGGAAAUCUGGAUGUUCAGAAAUUCAAAUUUGUGGCUGUAACGGUAACAUUAAGCGGAAUUCCGGAUGUCCAUAACCGGUAAUCCAGUUACGACAAAAAAUGUGCAUAACGGCUAGUUUUUGAGUUUAAACUAUAUAAACUCAAAACCAAUUCAUUUUUGGUAAUCCAAGCAAGCAAGAACAAGUGCACACAACAUAUAUUGAGCUUCAAUUUCGUAACUCAUCAUUUAUUAGGGUGAAGAGAUUGGAGAUAUAAUCUCUUGUUGUAAAGGUUCAUUGACACCUUGAAGUCAAUUGUAAUCGUUUGAAGCCUUGGAAAGGCUUGGAUAGUGAAAUCCUCAAGCCCGGUGUGCUUGGAAGCGUGGACGUAGGAGGGGAUUGCCGAACCACGUAAAAAUCCUUGAGUUUGCUUUCUCUUCCCUUGCUCUUUAAUUAUUGUGCUUUGAUUGAACUUAUUGCUUUCAAUUUUUAUUAAGACAUUAGAUUGCUUUUUGUGUGGAUUUGCUAGGAUAAUUUUUAAAAUUCCAAUUAACCCCCCCUCUUGGGUUGCACACUUAUAUUUCACAGGUGAUGGAUGAGAUCUAGGGUAAGAGAAAGCCUCUAACCUGGAGGAUAAUGCUGGAUGAAGAAUCUCUGCUAUCAGCCGAGAUCAUGGGUACCGUUAUCCCAAGAGAUUUCCACUUUCCCGACCUCAAGUACUCCGGGAGAAGCGACUCGCUAGUGUACAUUGAGCGCUUCAAUGACAUGACGGGCGUACAGGGGCUAACACCAGCUCAGAGGUGUAGGGUGUUCCCCUUGACACUAGAGUGAUGAGCCCGAGAAUGGUAUCGUAAGCUGCCACGAGUAAGUAUAAGGGGAUACGAGCAGAUGUGCCAAGAGUUAGCCGAGCAGUUCCGAGGAGCGGUAGCCCCAGAGGACGAUAUGAUGGAAUUGAUGGGGAUGAAGCAGGAGGAACACGAAUCCCUUCGGGAUUUUGUGAAAAGAUAUCAUCGGGCCGUGCUUGAUCUGGGAGCUUUCAAUCACCCCCAGGCUUUAAGAUGAUUAAAAGAAAGUGUAAGGAUAGGCCGAUUGUGGUACAACUUGAGAAGUCCCAUCGUUCAGAAUUAUUCGACGGGGUAUAAGCAGGCGAAGAGAGACAUAGAAAUUGAAGAAAAAACAACGGCAAGGAUAAAGAGUGAGCAGCUAGAAGAGCUGAGGCGAAAAGAAAAGAGAACCCUGAGUAGGCGAGCUGGGGAAUCAUCAGUGAUAGGUGGAAUAUCAGCUCGGUCUCGCCCUUAUCCCAUGACUCAGAGACCGCAAUGACUCAGAGACCGCAACAGUUCCAACACAGCCGAGGUCAGCCUCCACGCCCCCCAUUCCUAGAGCGGCAACGAGAAUUCUGGCAGGUGGCUGCCCAUCCUUAUCACAACGCUCUCAGGGCAUCGCAUGCAAUUAACUCCAGGGGUGGUCGACCAAACCAACUACCUACAAUACCAGCCUGGGACGAUAUCCAUGAUAGCCGAGCAGUCCAACUGAUUUAUCAGAGCUUGGCGUAUAAACACUAUACAACAUUGAAAGUCUUUAUGGAGGAGUUGUAUAAGAGGAUUGAGGGACGAGGCCUGCUGUACCCUCUUGCCCCUAUAACCAAGCCCACUCACAAACGGGAUAAAAGCAGAUUCUGCAAAUUCCAUGAUACUCAUGGCCACACUAUCAGCCAGUGUCAUGACCUGAAGACUCAAGUGGAGGAUUUGGUGAGAAACCGAUACUUGGACGAAUAUGUAGAUGAUGCAUUCCUUGUCCUUGAGUCACAAUAUACUCAGAUAGACGGAGACGAUAGGAGUCUGGAGCGUGAGCAGCCAACCAUUCGGGUGAUAGCAGGAGGGCCAACCUUGACUGGAGAUUCCAAUAAGGCACGGAAGAAUUACGGGAGAUAUGCCAUGACCAGCAAAGAGGUGCUUUUCAAUUUGCCAACAGCCAAGACAGCGAAAGUGAGGCAAGUUCCCAUUAUGUGGACAGAUGAUGACGAAGAGGGUGUUUUAUAUCCUCAUGAGGAUGCACUGGUGAUUAAGGCAAUGGUGGCUGGUAAAGAAUUACGGCGAAUACUAGUGGACACAGGUAGCUCGGUUGACAUAUUGUUUAAGUCGGCCCUAGAUGAUAUGGGAAUUUCGGACUUAAAAUUGGAGCAGACGAAUACAUCAUUGAAGGGAUUUGGAGGAGGGCGGUUAACCCCCAUGGGAAUCAUCGAGCUCCCGAUUAUUGUAGGGUCAAAGCCGUUUGAAAGAACAAUGAUGCUGGACUUUGUCGUGGUAGAAGAGAGAAGCCCUUACCAGAUGAUACUGGGACGACCUUUUAUAAGGAUAAGACAAUGUGUCAUAUCCACGCAUUAUCUGGCAUUGAAACACAAAGUGAAUGGAGUUGGCAGUAUUGAACCGGUUCAUCUCGCGGGCCAUGGAUAAAUAUCACCCUUUUUUCCAAACCAUAAAGAAAGGGAAGAAAAUGGAAUGGACAUCAGAAUGUGAGGAGGCAUUUAGACAGCUGAAGGAAUAUCUUGCCCGCGCCCCGUUACUAUCGACUCCGAGAGAAGGUGACAAGCUGUAUUUAUACUUGGCUGUCUCUAAAUGGGCUACCAGCUCGAUAUUAGUAAGAGAAGAAGAAGGAAAGCAACACCCCUUGUACUACACUAGCAAGGCCCUUGUGGACGCAGAAACUAGAUAUCCACUGAUGGAGAAAUGGGCGCUAGCUUUAAUGACGGCAGCACGCAAGCUCAGACCGUACUUUCAGGCUCACCCGAUAGUAGUGAUGACUGACCAACCUCUUCGGUAAAUGCUCCAGAAACCAGAUGCAUAUGGUCGGCUAGUAAAAUAGUUAGUAGAGCUGAGCGAAUUCAAUCUAUCUUACAAACCACGAGGGGCAAUCAAAGCUCAAGCUCUGGCCGAUUUUAUGGUUGACCGUAUUGAACCAGGGGAAGAAGUUCAGGAGGAACAACCAGCUGAACAGGAGAAAUCAAAGGCGGUGUGGCUGGUAAUGGUUGAUGGGUCACAUAGUGAACAAGGGUCCGGAGCAGGAGUUGUAAUACGAAGCCCAGAAGGGGGCGAAGUAUCCUAUGCAGUGAAAUUCGAAUUCCAGCUCACAAAUAACCAAGAUGAAUAUAAAGCCUUUAUCACUGGGCUCGGGCUUGCACACGCACUACGAGCAGAGAGGGUAGAAAUUCGAGCAGACUCCCAGUUAGUCUGUAAUCAGCUCAGUGACCAAUUCCAAAUGAAGGAAGAGAAGAUGGGGCUUUAUUUGAAGAAGGCAAGCAGAUGGUUGGGCUUUUCCAAGAAGUAGAAAUAAAACAGAUAUCCCGGAAUAAAAGAUGGCCGUAAUUGCGGAUCCGAAAUUACCCAAGUCAGUUCCACUGGAAGUGAGGACCUCGCCAAGCAUAGAGGAGGAGGUAAAAGUAAUGCGGGUAAGCACGGAAGAAUCCUGGAUGGACUCGAUUCUCUCAUACAUCCGCGAUGGCAUCUUACCAGAAGAUAGGAAGCAAGCAAGGAAGUUGAAAUGUCGGGUAGCAAGGUAUACGCUACUCGAUGGGGUACUCUACCGCCGGGGAUUCACUUUGCCCUUUUUGAGAUGUUUGGAUGACGAGGAAGCAAAUUAUGUGCUGAGGGAGAUUCAUGAAGGAAUAUGCGGCAACCACUCGGGGGUGAGGACUUUGGCCUUUAAGGCACUUCGGUAAAAAUACUUUUUGCCGACUAUGCACCAGGAUGCGAAAAGGAUGGCAAAAAAUUGUAAAAUCUGCCAAAGCUUCUUGGAGGUUCCUACUCAGCCCUCAGAAUUGCUAACCGUUAUGUCAUCCCCAUGGCCUUUUGCCCAAUGGGGAGUUGACCUGAUUGGCCCAUUACCCAAAGGCCGAGGAGCCGCAAGUCAUGCAAUUGUGGCUAUAGAUUACUUUACUAAAUGGGUAGAAGUGGGAGUCCUCAGCCAAAUCACGGAGAGAAAGACAACGGAUUUUAUUUGGAGGAAUAUCAUCUACAGGUACGGGAUCUCCUAUGUUAUCAUUACAGACAAUGGGAGGCAGUUUGACAAUCACAACUUCAGAGAAUUUUGCCAAAACUUGGGUGUGGAUCUGAAGUUUUGCACCCCGGCACACCCCCAGGCAAACGGACAGGUAGAAGCAGCCAACAAAGUAAUAAAAAAACUCCUGAAAACCAGGUUGGGAGAGAAGAAGGGAGCUUGGGUUGACGAGCUACCAGGAGUGUUAUGGGCCUACCGGAAAACCCACAAAACUGCCAUGGGAGAAACCUUGUUUGCUUUAGCUUUCAGUCAUGAGGCAGUAAUCCCAGCAGAAAUUGGGGUGGGAACCCAUCGGACAGAAUAUUUCAACAAGGAACAAAACGACGAGCAGAUCUACAUAAACUUGUACCUGCUGGAGGAAAAAAGAGAAGAGGCCUCGCGGAAAGUGGCCCAAUGCCAGCAAAGAAUCAUGCGCUACUACAACAAGAAUGUACGCAUAAGGCAGUUCCGAGCAGGAGAUUGGGUGCUAAGAAAGGUGAACCAAAACACAAGAGAUCCUAGCCAUGGCGCUCUUGGCCCGAAAUGGGAGGGCCCGUACAAGGUAAUACGAACAACUGGCCCAGCAGCUUACAAGCUGGCUUACCCAAAUGGAUGAGAUGUGAAGAGGUCGUGGAACGCCGAGCACCUGAAGAAGAACUUCCAGUAAGCAAAGUGCUUUACUAAGUUUUUAUUUAGAUAAGUUAUUUCUGUUAAAUGCAUGAUGAAUUAUGGCACAUGCAUAUAUUUCACUUUUUGUAACCCAUGCAAAGUUCAAUAAAGAUGAAUUCAUCAUAAAUUCCCUCGCUAGACAAAUUUGACUAAGGCAAGCAAGUGCCUAUUCCUGCUCGGUCGCCUAAAGGACCAGCAGGCAAACCUACAAAUUUCGUUAAGGCAAGCAAGUGUAUAUUCCUGCUCGAUCGCCUAAAGGACCAGCAGGUAAAUUAACAAAUUUGGUUAAGGCAAGCAAGUGUCUAUUCCUGCUCGAUCGCCUAAAGGACCAGCAAGCAAACCUACAAAUUUUGUUAAGGCAAGCAAGUGCUUAUUCCUGCUCGGUCGCCUAAAGAACUAGCAGGUAAAUUUACAAAUUUCGUUAAGGCAAGCAAGUGCCUAUUCCUACUCAGUCGCUUAAAGGACCAGCAGGCAAACUUACAAAUUUGGUUAAGGCAAGCAAGUGCCUAUUCCUACUCGGUCGCCUAAAGGACCAGCAGACAAACUUACAAAUUUCGUUAAGGCAAGCAAGUGUCUAUUCCUGCUCGGUCGCCUAAAGGACCAGCAAUUAAAUUCACAAAUUUCGUUAAGGCAAGUGUCUAUUCCUACUUGGCCGCCUAAAGGAUCAGCAGGCCAAUUCUACAAAUUUUGCUAAGGCAAACAAGUGCCUGUUCCUGCUCGGUCAACUAAAGGACCAGCAGGCAAAGCCAAGGCAAGCAUGUGCCAACUCCUGCUCGGUCGUUGGAGGACUGGUAGGCAAAUUUUUACGAAACCAUUAAGGCUAGAAAUCGCCUACUUUUCCUCGGCCACUCAAAGACAAGCAGACAUAUUUCAAGGUAAUUUGCAGAAACAAUCCCAUGGCAAGAAAACAAUCAAAAACUAUCAAAAGUCGAUAAACAUCCAAGCAUUUUUAAACAAAUAAAAUUCCAAAAUUUACAAUAUAUAUAUAUAUAUAUAUAAGCCUAAGGAUUAUGAGGUUCAGCAACCUCGAUAAGAGAAUGAUCAGCAGCCUCAGAAGGGGAAGGACCAGCAACUUUGGGGGGAGCAGACGCUGAUCCCUGACCUGCUUCAAGAGCUUGAUCCCCUGCUUCCUCCUCCUGCACCCCACUUAAAUGAGCCUCCACCUGAUCCUGGUCCCCCUGCUCCUUAUCCCUUUGAUCUGCCUCGGCCAUAUAUUUCCGCACUCCAGCCUCCAGUUUGCUCAUGUUAAGCUCUGGAUAUUUUUCCUUAAGCACAAACAUGAUGCACUUGUAGCAAAAGGCGAGCCUGGAGUUAUACUCUGCAUCCAGCCGAUCGUCCACAUCAGCAGAUUUACCUUUCAGCUCGGCUACUUGCUCAUUUAAAGACUUGAUCUGCUCCUCAAGGGUCGUCUCCAAAGUAUCACUUUGAGUAGCCUAGAGAUCAGACUUCAAGUCACCCAGCUCAACCUCAAGCUUGGUGGAGUUGGACUCAUCAAUGGCCACUUUCUCUUCUAGAUCCAUGAUCUGCUUGUGCAGAUCAAGCAGCUUUUCCUUCGAGCGGUCAGCAGACUAAGCCUUUUUCUUUAAGUCUUGGUUAUCAGCUUGAAGCCUCCUCUCAUGGCGCGUGGACCUAUUCUUGUAGCAAGAAACCAGAGUAGCUAGCUUAAAGGAGACCCUCUCACUGGAACCAGCUAACUCGCUGAAGUUCAUGCUCUCAAUAUCCUUGACCAUUUUUUAUCCCAUCGACUUGCCAUAGUCCCUCUGGUACGGGGUCAGAUAGUCACCUUGGUCCCGAGGCAGAAGAGGAAAGGAUCGAUCUCCAGAUUGAAUGCUGACCUCAGGACUCUUGUCGCUAACCUUCUCUCUGCCAUUCUUCUGAGGUGGAGGAGGGGGCAGAGUAGGAGCAGAAGCCUUAGAGGGGCUAACAUUGGUUUUCUUCAAAGGAGAGGGGUGUUGCUGGACCUACCUGAAACCCUAGCACGUUUCCUUAACAUAGCGCUAAGGAUCUUGUUAUCCAUCCCGGCAGCUACGUCCACUAAGCGUGACCCGACGAGAUUUAUUGACGAUUGGAGAUCUUGACAGGUAGACGCGUUCACCAGAGCAGUUUCCACCUGGAGCAAUGGUUUGUCGUCAAGAUUCUUGAUCAGGCCCCAAGACUCUGAAAGAACAAACAAGGUUAAGGAACCCAAUAAGUAACGAUCAGAGAAGUGAAGUAUGCAGAAAAAUAAACGACCUGGGGUGACAAAACGCGUUGGAAGGUGAAUAUCACCACCAAGCGAAUGGAUUGCUGGACACCAAUUCCCUCUAGCAAAGAAGAAUUUGUUCUUUCAGUUUUUACAUGAGGAAGGAAAGCCAGUGAUAGGUUUCCUCUUUGCAGAGUUUGACAUGAAGUAGUACCAGCCUACUUCCUUUGGGCUGCUCCUCAGCUGAUACAAAUGUUUUACUUCCGCAAGGGAAGGCUCCCCGAGUCCACACCUUUCCCAUAAAACAUACAAGGCUGAAAGAACUCUCCACCCAUUCGGGUGAAGCUGAACUGGAGCCACUUAAGCACAAACAUGAUGCACUUGUAGCAAAAGGCGAGCCUGGAGUUAUACUCUGCAUCCAGCCGAUCGUCCACAUCAGCAGAUUUACCUUUCAGCUCGGCUACUUGCUCAUUUAAAGACUUGAUCUGCUCCUCAAGGGUCGUCUCCAAAGUAUCACUUUGAGUAGCCUAGAGAUCAGACUUCAAGUCACCCAGCUCAACCUCAAGCUUGGUGGAGUUGGACUCAUCAAUGGCCACUUUCUCUUCUAGAUCCAUGAUCUGCUUGUGCAGAUCAAGCAGCUUUUCCUUCGAGCGGUCAGCAGACUAAGCCUUUUUCUUUAAGUCUUGGUUAUCAGCUUGAAGCCUCCUCUCAUGGCGCGUGGACCUAUUCUUGUAGCAAGAAACCAGAGUAGCUAGCUUAAAGGAGACCCUCUCACUGGAACCAGCUAACUCGCUGAAGUUCAUGCUCUCAAUAUCCUUGACCAUUUUUUAUCCCAUCGACUUGCCAUAGUCCCUCUGGUACGGGGUCAGAUAGUCACCUUGGUCCCGAGGCAGAAGAGGAAAGGAUCGAUCUCCAGAUUGAAUGCUGACCUCAGGACUCUUGUCGCUAACCUUCUCUCUGCCAUUCUUCUGAGGUGGAGGAGGGGGCAGAGUAGGAGCAGAAGCCUUAGAGGGGCUAACAUUGGUUUUCUUCAAAGGAGAGGGGUGUUGCUGGACCUACCUGAAACCCUAGCACGUUUCCUUAACAUAGCGCUAAGGAUCUUGUUAUCCAUCCCGGCAGCUACGUCCACUAAGCGUGACCCGACGAGAUUUAUUGACGAUUGGAGAUCUUGACAGGUAGACGCGUUCACCAGAGCAGUUUCCACCUGGAGCAAUGGUUUGUCGUCAAGAUUCUUGAUCAGGCCCCAAGACUCUGAAAGAACAAACAAGGUUAAGGAACCCAAUAAGUAACGAUCAGAGAAGUGAAGUAUGCAGAAAAAUAAACGACCUGUGGUGACAAAACGCGUUGGAAGGUGAAUAUCACCACCAAGCGAAUGGAUUGCUGGACACCAAUUCCCUCUAGCAAAGAAGAAUUUGUUCUUUCAGUUUUUACAUGAGGAAGGAAAGCCAGUGAUAGGUUUCCUCUUUGCAGAGUUUGACAUGAAGUAGUACCAGCCUACUUCCUUUGGGCUGCUCCUCAGCUGAUACAAAUGUUUUACUUCCGCAAGGGAAGGCUCCCCGAGUCCACACCUUUCCCAUAAAACAUACAAGGCUGAAAGAACUCUCCACCCAUUCGGGUGAAGCUGAACUGGAGCCAGAUACAUGCCACCCAAUAUCCGGGCAAAAUAAGGUUAAAGGGGUAACCGAAUCCCUAGCUUAAAACUCUCCAGAUGCAUCGUCACAUACCCCUUUGGAGGCCGACUGGGGACAUCACCUUUCCUAGGGAUUACGAGGAAAACCUCCUUAUGGAUAUUGUAAAGGUUUCUAAGCUUGAGUAGGUCAGUGUGGGUAGUAGCACAAGUAAUGUAGUCAAUGGGAUACGCAUAUACCUCCAUCAUAUGACCAAGGUUUCUCUUCUUAGAGGGUCUGUUCGACUCGGAACUACUCUCCUCACCUUCACCACUUCCUCAGGGACCCUAGCCCCCUGAGAGCUGUGAUUUUCACCAGAGCCCGAGGCCGAUCCACCACGGGUUCCCACAGGUUCUAAAUCAGGGGAAGACAAAGUGGUCACGUGACGAGGGUAUUCAGGGGUAUCCCUAGGAUAGGAGGGACCUACAUUGCGAGAAGAGCAUAGGGGAUCAUUAGGUCCAAACAGGUUGGGGUAUGAGUCCUCUACCUCUUCAUCACUCUCAUCUACAAUUAUUUUUCCCUUUCGGUUUGACAUAUCGAAAUCUUAAAAGGGAAAGCACAACAAAUCCAAGUAUAUGGGUACAAAAAGGGACAAUACAGAACCCAAGCAACAACAACCAGAUAAGAAGUUAAAGGCGAUACCUGGAGUAGAUUAGCACUGGUAGCGCUGCCGUGACGGAGAAAGGGCCUAACAAACAAAGAUUUCCGACGCGGACAAUGCGAUUAAAGUCCAAAGAAGAAGUUGGCUUACGGCAGAAUAGCAGAUAGCGAAACACAAUGGCACUUUCAAUCUAGGGAUUUAAAAUGAAAGGGGGGAAUGAAGACGUUUAAGUUACACGGGUGUCAGCUAAGUCGGCGCAUAUCGUGGACAGAUAAGCUGUUGUUUUAAAUUUCAAAAUAGGAAAGGGCGAGAAGCGACACAUCACUGGCCAUUAGAAAACGCCUAAUGAGACCCUAGCCCAGCAAUAUAUUGGACACGCUCGCUAAGGCCCAUACCUAGACCAAAGUCUCCUUAAACAAGAGAAGGAACCCGAGGUCCAUUAUAAUAACACGAGGACCAGAAAGAUGUUUCCCGAGGUCGGUAAGAUCCAGUUCUCAGUUUUUAAUCUUAAAUCAUUUCACUCACAAGACAAGAAACUGGGGGACUAGUGUUGAGUAAUAGAAAGUACCAGCUCGGCCAUGCCCUCAUCUCUCAUCCUGAGGCGAACCUCAUCAGCUAAAUGACACGAGAAGAGUCCUGGUAAAACAUCUUGUCCUGGCAUGUGCCAACUAGAGACGAGCACCGACCAAAGAAAUAUACCGACCAGAGAUAUACACCGGCCAGAUGCACAUCAUCCAAAGAAAGAGCACACGAUCUCACGUAAUUGCGACAGUUUCGUUAUGCCCCGAACCGUCAGGAAAGACAUGGCAUCCCACGUUUAACCACAAUCCAAGAGUUGGAGACCCAUGGGGGUCUGCCAUCACCCGAAAAAAGGGGGGCAUGAAGGAUACACAGAAACAUGGGGCAACGACUAUAAGAAGCUAGGAGAUCAAUGAAAAAAUGGGACAAAAAAUUGAGAGAAAAAGGGGAAACUCUGCCAAAUUGAAACCAGGCUACAUUCCAUACGAAUUUUUGAGAGCACUACAAGAAAUCAUACAAUUUAAAUUACACUGUUUUUCCGUAAACACCUUGUGCUAACUUAGGCAUCGGAGAGUUUACACCGGUAAAACCACUGGCGUCUCUGAUCUAUCUCUGUGAGUGCAAGAUUAGAAAGAGGGAAAAGGGGUGAUUCCAAUCCCUGGAGCUUUGCCAAUUGCGGAAGGAGGCAAAAGAGCAACGUCCUUUCCAUUGAACGUACAAGCAUUGGUGGAACGAUCUGGUCGGUCAUAGAGCGAGCAGAUUUCAGCAUCAACAAUUACUUUCUUCACAAGAACUUUUGAUAACUAUUUUGCCCGAAUUAACACAACUAAAUGUAAAUGACCUACCAAAACUAUUUUACAAGUUGAAGCAAAUUCCGAAAUUAGAUAUAUACAUGGGUAUAUUCUUCGUAAACCACUGACCAAAAAUAUUAAAAAACCAUAGAUACUAUCAGUAAUUAGAACCCAAAAAAAAAAAGAUUCUAGAAAACAGAACAGCUAACUAAUAAGUGUUACAGACCUGUAUUUAUGAAAUUGCUUGAUACAGUUGUUUCCGGAGCCAGUAAACUCCCUUGCUUCUUAAUUUCAUCCAGCAGUGCACGGAGCACGGGCAUGUUCUUAAAUUCUUCUUUUUUCUUUGAAUUGUUGAUUUAUAGUGCCUUGCAUGCAAAAUUCAAAAUUUCGGAUGAUGAUAAUCUUGUUUUAGAAGAGAUUUCUAGUUAAUGUAGCAUCAUUCUUUAUCAUGGCAUCACAAGCACAUGCUCUGGUUUGCUCAGUUUGCUUUUUGUCUCUGAUAUUUUCUUGGCAUUGUGGGAUAUUGUUUCUUUUUUUAUUUUUUGUUUUUGUUGUUAUAGGAUUUGGAGAUAGUGUAUAUGUAUGACAAUGAUAUAAUAAAGUGCUUUUGAUAAAUUCGCCUGGUUGGUUUACUUCACUAACCAUUAGUGAGCAAAUCCUCCCAGUGACCCUCAAACUGUUCUACACAAACAAUGAAGGAACAAGUUAAGUAGAGCCAAUAAACAGGGGAAAGUGAAUUACUGUCCUUGAGCACAUUAAUAAUCUCGGCUAUCUAUGUACAAUUUUGUAAAUUCAUGUCAUAUACUAGAGUCUUCUGGGUUUUGUUGCAUCAAUUCUUUGGUGUUUAUCUUGUUUUAUUAUUUUAUGACGCAAGAGUCCUGGUAGCGAUGUAUCAAGAGUAAAAAGAUUUAAUUUAUUUUUCGUUAUUAUUGGUUUCUUUGUAACAAUUAAUUAAUCGACCCAUCGAGGUAUAUUGGUUUCUUUGUAACAAUUAGCUAAUUGCUUAAUACUUUUUUGUACUUCUCGCCAUGAAAUCACGAAGUACUUGCAAAUAAGAUCAUAGAGGGGGUGUGUUGUGAUGUGAUAAAAUCAUAUCUAAAUUAAGAGAUGAUUCAUAUAUAUAGGCACAUACUGAAUAAAGAUAUUUAAACACAAGCAUUCAAUUUUACGAUAUACCUAAUAAUCAAAGGUUUAAUGCUCAGGUUAAAAGGGAGUGAAUAAAAAUAAAUGUAAAAAGAUGAACAAGUGAACAUGAUAAUUUAUUAAAUAAAAAAUUAAAUUUAUAUCUAUUUUAAUAAGUGUAAAAUCAUUUCCACUCUAAAAUUUAUUUUGAGCACUCAUAUUUUUUAUUACAAAAAACUUCAUAAUUCCAUUUACUAAUAAGGAUGAUUCAAUAUAAGUAAAUAGGACAAUAAUACUUGUGACAUUCAUGUAAAAUUCUUAAACCUUAAACUGUAGAACACUCUUCAUCAAAACUCAUUUAAAAGCAUUUUUUUUUUACUUAGAUUUCGAGGAGGUUCUAUGAGAAUGACCAACUGCUGAAAAAUAAAUAAAAAACCAGAUACAAGUGUAGAAUAUUCUCAUUAAAUUUUAAUUUUUUGCACAAACAUGGCCUGCAUAUAUACACAAAUAACUGUUCUACGAAUAUGUAGAAGCAAUCUCAAUUGUCCAAUUUUGUUUUUCAAAUUUUAACGAAUAUAAAUUUUAUAUGUUGGGUAACUAUGGAAAAUAAGAUUAGGGAAAAUGAUAUUAUCAUUAAAUAGGGAAAGCAAAGGCAGUUAAUAUUGGUGUGAUGAAUAUUUUUAUGGGUGUACUAAGAAAAAUAAAGAUAAUAAAAUGAAUGCUAUUAGUAAUAUCACUAGCAAUCUUUCAUGUGAUGCACAAAUUACUUUUAUCACGUCUUUUAUAUAAAUACUCAUAAAUUUUACUCAAAUUAUCAAAAGAAAAAAAGAAGAAAAAAAUCAUAUAGUUAAUUUUUCUUCAAACUUACUCCAUUAUUCAAUAGGAGUAUAAUAAAGUAGGAGAAAGGAGAAAAUUAGGGUGAUUAUUGCAAUGAUAAGAACUCAGGCAAGUGCUUAUUUCAUAUGCAUGUGUGGCAUUCAUUAAUUUGACCAAAAAUAAAUGAAUUUAUUUGUAUUUUAAUCAAAAUCGAGGGACAUCAACAAAAUAUUUCCACUCCAGAUAUUUAUCAUUUUCUCGUUAAUAAAAAAAAUUGCAUAAGAUGUUAUAAUUAAUGCAAAGUCUUGUCCUCUUGACAAGUUUGGUAUUGUCUUGUCCUCUUGACAAGUUAUGCUUUGUUGACUGGCAGGUCUCUGCUUUUGGUUUCGUUGGUUUUUCUCUAUCUGGUAUUACUCUGUUUCAUCACCAUGGCGGGUACUACUGCUGCUGCGGAGGCUGAAGUAAGGGAGGUGUAUUCUCAGUUAUCGAUUGAUGAGGAAGAGGAAGUUGGUUUGGUCUUUAAGGAGGAUGAGAUUCAGGCUGAGAAAGGGGCAAAGCUCAAUCUUCAAUUCUGCCUGGUGGGGAGUUUUCUUACUGAUAAAGCUAUAAAUUUUCCAGCCAUGAAGAAUACAAUGGCAGCUUUAUGGAGGCCUGGAAAAGGGAUCUGCAUCAAAGAUUUAUCACCUACCUUGUUCCUAUUCCAAUUUUUUCAUGAGGUGGAUAUACAAAGAGUUUUGGAUUCCGGCCCUUGGACGUUUGAUCAGCACUUGCUGAUUAUGAAACGGUUAAGCACGGAUGAACAACCACAAAGUGUGUCUCUAUUUCACACUUCCUUUUGGAUUCAAGUGUAUAACCUUCCCAUUGGUUUCCUCACAGCCAAAGUCCUGCAAAAUAUUGGUAAUUUCAUUGGAGAGUUUCAAUCUUCCGAUGCUAACAAUUUCAUGGGAGUGUGGAGGAAUUAUAUGCGUAUACGAGUUUUGCUAGAGAUGGUUGCGUUCAGGGCCGUUGGAAGGGGGUGAACCCCUAAUUGGCAGUUGCGUGACAUCUGGAGGAUCAAGGGUAAUUAGUGAAACGAAUCCCACAAUACCGGACAUUUCCAUUUAUAAUGACAGUGCUGGAAUGGAAGUCAAUGGAAAUAAAGAGCUUCACAUGGCGGUCGUGGUUGGCAAGCCAACUCAUAGUCAACGGAUUGCAAAAGGCAAGGACGUGGAACAUGCAUACAAUGAGGAUGAUUUGCUUAAGGAAGGUGUUUUUGAAUUUGGGCAAGGAAUGAUUGUUAAGGAAACUAAAAGAAGGCGGGCUCAACUUGGACUGGAAUUCACAGGAGGGACAGAAGUGGAUGGGCCUUCGAAUUUGAUGAAUAUAGAUGUGGAUCCAAAAAACGGGCUAGCGGUGGGACCUGUCUUUCAGGCCCACCGACAACAAUGAGUACCCUAAGUUGGAACUGUCGUGGGCUGGGCCUCCCACGAACAGUUCAAGUUCUGACCGAGUUGGUUAAGCAUAAAAAGCCCUCUUUUCUUUUUCUUAUGGAAACUUUAAGCUGUAGAGCUCCCUUAGAAAAUUUAAAAAAUAAAUUGGGUUACGAUGGGUUGUUUGUAAUAGAUCGUGUGGGCCGGAGUGGUGGGCUUGCUUUGUUUUGGCAAUUUCACUUUAAGGUGAAACUUUUGAAAUAUGGGCGUACGUUUAUUGAUGUUGAGGUUUCAAAUUCGGAGAUGGGGGUUUGGCGGGUCACGGGUUUUUAUGGAUAUCCAGAAUCCAAUCGUCGGCGGGAAUCAUGGCAUCUUCUACGUCGGCUUGCCUCUCUCUCUACUCUUCCAUGGGUUUGUCUUGGAGAUUUUAACGACUUGCUUGAUUCUAGUGAAAAGAAUGGCUCUCGGCCUCAUGCUGCCUGGAAAAUCCACGGUUUUCGAAGUGCCAUUUCUGAUGCUGGGCUUUCGGAUUUGGGUAUGGUUGGGUAUCAGUUUACUUGGGAAAGGGGUAGAGGCACUGUCAAUUGGGUUGAAGAGCGCCUGGAUCGAGCUUUUUCAUCCUCCUCUUGGCGAGACAAAUUUCCCAAUGCUCAAGUUCAGAGUAUGGAGGCUGAUAGCUCAGAUCACUUACCCAUUUUUUUGGAUCCAAUUCAUAACUUUCAUUCAGCCUCUCGGGUCAGCCGUUUUCGUUUUGAGAACCUUUGGCUUCGCGAAGCUGAUUGUGAACAGAUAGUUAGAUGCAGCUGGGAUGAUACAACCGAUCUUUUAAUCCAACAAAAGCUCUCGGUUUGUGGGUUAAAGUUGAUGAAUUGGGGAGGGCAUAUGGUCCGUGAUUUCCGUAGUCGUCUAAAGGAAUACAAGACCCGUAUGAGAACCUUGCGAGGUCGUCGCGAUAUGGUAGGCCUUAUAGAGUUCACUGAAGUUCGCAAACGAUACAAUGAGCUCCUACACAGUCACGAAAUUUUUUGGAAGCAGCGAGCUAAGGCCCUUUGGUUGAAAGAAGGGGAUCUGAAUUCUCGCUAUUUUCAUUCAAUGGCAUCUACGCGGAAGAAGAAAAAUUCCAUUGUCAAAUUACGGAAUGCUCAAGGGGUGUGGUGUGCUGACUCAGGGGAAAUUGAUACACUCAUUAGAACUUAUUUUACAGAGCUUUUUUCUUCAAAUGGUAGCAAUAGUGAGGCUGUAAUUUCCUCUGUAAUGACUUCUAUUACGGCUGAGCAAAACCAGAUUCUGUUGGCUCCAUUCACUGAUGCUGAUGUCAAAGAAGCUCUGUUCAGUAUGCACCCUGACAAAUCGCCAGGACCUGAUGGUAUGAACCCUGCUUUCUAUCAAAAAUUUUGGCAUAUUGUGGGGGGAGAUGUUUCAGCUGCUUGCCUUUAUUUUAUAGCUAAUAAACAAUUCCCUUUGGAUUUAAAUAAAACACUCAUUGUUUUGAUUCCUAAAAAAGCACAGCCUGAGGUUUUAGCAGAUAUGCGGCCAAUCGCUUUGUGUAAUGUGCUCUAUAAAAUUAUUGCCAAAAUGCUUGCUAACCGUUUGAAGCUUGUCCUUGAUUCUGUUAUUUUUGACUCUCAAAGUGCUUUUGUUCCCGGAAGAGCCAUAACGGACAACAUUUUAAUCUCAGCCGAAAUAAUGCAUUUUUUGAAGAGGAAACGACAGGGAAAGAAGGGGGUUGCAGCACUGAAAAUUGAUAUGGCUAAGGCCUACGACCGUGUUGAAUGGGACUUUCUUAAAGCAAUGAUGUCGAAGAUGGGUUUUGCUGAUGAAUGGGUUCAGUUGGUCAUGCUUUGUGUUACGACAGUAAGCUAUAGUGUGCUCAGGGAUGGUAAUGAAGUAGGCCCUAUUAUUCCGAAAAGGGGACUUCGUCAAGGAGACUCGUUAUCACCCUACCUUUUCUUACUGUGUGCUGAGGGGUUUAGCUCUUUAAUUGCCAAAUAUGAGAAAGCGGGGUUGAUUCAUGGAGUUCAAGUUGCUAGGAAGGCUCCAGCAAUAUCUCACCUCCUUUUUGCAGAUGAUUGUUUCUUAUUUUUUCGUGCAAACCAAGUGGAAGCGAACUUAGUCAAGCAGGUGUUGUGUGCAUAUGGCAAUGCUUCUGGGCAGUGUGUUAACUAUGCCAAAUCUUCUAUCUCAUUUAGUAUGAAUGUGAACGAAGAUACUGCACAGCAGAUUUGUACUACUCUUGGGGUUAUGGCAACAGAAAAUCAUGGACCAUAUUUGGGGCUGCCCUAAAAAAUUGGUAGGAAACGCAGCGAUGUCUUUCGGUUUGUAAAGGAGAAGGUCUGGAAGAAGCUUCAAGGGUGGAAUAAGCAGUUUUUAUCUAGAGCAGGGAAAGAAAUACUAUUAAAAACGGUUGCCCAAGCCGUGCCAAAUUUUGUGAUGAAUAUAUACCUACUUCCGCUAGAGUUGUGUAAGGAGCUUGAGAUCAUGAUGAACUCCUUUUGGUGGGGUAAUAGCCGUAAUCAUGGGAGAGGCAUUAAUUGGAUGCGCUGGGAUGCUCUGUGUAAACCCAAGUCAGCUGGGGGAAUUGGAUUCAAAAAGCUUCAUGCUUUUAAUCUUGCUAUGUUAGGGAAGCAAGGCUGGAAAUUGAUGACAAAGCCGAACUCUUUAGUUGCACAAAUAUUAAAAGCGAGGUAUUAUUCUCGAACUUCUUUUGCUGGAGCUACUUUGGGGCAUAAUCCUAGCUACGCAUGGCGGUCCAUUAUGGCAGCAAAGCAGGUUGUUAUUGAAGGAAGCCGAAUUCGAAUUGGGGAUGGUGAGCAAACAUUUAUUGGCAAGGAUCCAUGGCUUCCUGACAGUGAGUGUGGAUUUAUCAACACUUUGUUGAGUGAGCAAGUUAAGGCAGCCCAAGUUAGCUCGUUAAUGGUUCCUAGCACUAGAACUUGGGAUUCUGAUAUUCUUAAUGAUAUUUUUAAUGAAAGGGAUAAGAAUCUAAUAUGGCAGAUCCCUCUGAGCAACAGAAGCAAUGCGGAUUCAUGGUAUUGGAUGCAUGAGGCCAAAGGGGUUUAUACUUGUGUUACGACAGUAAGCUAUAGUGUGCUCAGGGAUGGUAAUGAAGUAGGCCCUAUUAUUCCGAAAAGGGGACUUCGUCAAGGAGACUCGUUAUCACCCUACCUUUUCUUACUGUGUGCUGAGGGGUUUAGCUCUUUAAUUGCCAAAUAUGAGAAAGCGGGGUUGAUUCAUGGAGUUCAAGUUGCUAGGAAGGCUCCAGCAAUAUCUCACCUCCUUUUUGCAGAUGAUUGUUUCUUAUUUUUUCGUGCAAACCAAGUGGAAGCGAACUUAGUCAAGCAGGUGUUGUGUGCAUAUGGCAAUGCUUCUGGGCAGUGUGUUAACUAUGCCAAAUCUUCUAUCUCAUUUAGUAUGAAUGUGAACGAAGAUACUGCACAGCAGAUUUGUACUACUCUUGGGGUUAUGGCAACAGAAAAUCAUGGACCAUAUUUGGGGCUGCCCUAAAAAAUUGGUAGGAAACGCAGCGAUGUCUUUCGGUUUGUAAAGGAGAAGGUCUGGAAGAAGCUUCAAGGGUGGAAUAAGCAGUUUUUAUCUAGAGCAGGGAAAGAAAUACUAUUAAAAACGGUUGCCCAAGCCGUGCCAAAUUUUGUGAUGAAUAUAUACCUACUUCCGCUAGAGUUGUGUAAGGAGCUUGAGAUCAUGAUGAACUCCUUUUGGUGGGGUAAUAGCCGUAAUCAUGGGAGAGGCAUUAAUUGGAUGCGCUGGGAUGCUCUGUGUAAACCCAAGUCAGCUGGGGGAAUUGGAUUCAAAAAGCUUCAUGCUUUUAAUCUUGCUAUGUUAGGGAAGCAAGGCUGGAAAUUGAUGACAAAGCCGAACUCUUUAGUUGCACAAAUAUUAAAAGCGAGGUAUUAUUCUCGAACUUCUUUUGCUGGAGCUACUUUGGGGCAUAAUCCUAGCUACGCAUGGCGGUCCAUUAUGGCAGCAAAGCAGGUUGUUAUUGAAGGAAGCCGAAUUCGAAUUGGGGAUGGUGAGCAAACAUUUAUUGGCAAGGAUCCAUGGCUUCCUGACAGUGAGUGUGGAUUUAUCAACACUUUGUUGAGUGAGCAAGUUAAGGCAGCCCAAGUUAGCUCGUUAAUGGUUCCUAGCACUAGAACUUGGGAUUCUGAUAUUCUUAAUGAUAUUUUUAAUGAAAGGGAUAAGAAUCUAAUAUGGCAGAUCCCUCUGAGCAACAGAAGCAAUGCGGAUUCAUGGUAUUGGAUGCAUGAGGCCAAAGGGGUUUAUACAGUCCGCAGCAGCUACAAGAUGUUGGCUCCAUGUUUGGAUAUUCCUUCUAGUAGUAUUUGGAAUCAGUUAUGGAGAUUAGAGGUGCCAAGUAAAGUGAAGCACUUCAUGUGGCGAGCAUUGACAGAUGUCCUGCCUACAACCGAGAAUCUCCUCAAAAAAUAUGUAGAGGUACCCCCUGCUUGUAUUACUUGCCAUGCUAGUUCUGAAAGUAUUUGCCAUCUAUUGCUUCAAUGCCCCUUUGCGCGAACUUGCUGGAUGACCUCUUCUAUUGGAUUCUUUGGGGAUGGGUCAAAUCUUUUGCUCUGGUUGGAAGCUUUGUUUAACAGGUAUAGCCUUGAGCAAACUCAACUUGCUGUUAUGAUCUGUUGGAGUCUUUGGCAGAAUCGAAAUGCUAUGGUUUGGCGUGGGAAGACCUCUGGUGUGCAGCAACUCCUCAAUUCUGCUGGUCAUUUUCUUUUUCAAUGGCAGUCUGUCAGGAAGCAUCAGUUUCUGUUUUCUCAGCCUUCUCCUAUAGGUCACGGUGCAAUUUGUUGGGAACCUCCAUUGGCUGGUAGAUUAAAGUGUAAUGUGGAUGCAGCCAUGUUUGCUUCCAGGGGUUAUAUUGGCUUAGGUAAUGUUAUAAGAGACUCAAAUGGUGCAUUUGUGGCAGCUAGGUGUUGUAGCAUUCCUGGAAGAUUUAGUGCUCGUGAUGCUGAAGCACUUGGUGUUCGCGAGGCCCUUAGUUGGAUUAAGCAACUACAACUGUCUAAUGUUACUAUUGAGAUGGAUUCCUUAAAUGUGUACAAUGCUCUAGUUACUAAUCUCUCGGGUCCUAGUAGUUUUAGUCUUAUUAUUGAAGACUGUCGUGCUUUGUCUAAUUCAAUACGAGAUGUAUCUUUCUCUUUUGUUAGACGGUCUGCGAAUUCUGUUGCCCACUCUGUAGCUCAGGCAGGGAAUUCUUUAUCAGGCCACGGAGAGUGGAGGGCUGUUCCACCUCCGUUCUUAAUUGCUUAAGCAAAACCCUAAAACAAAAACAAAAGACAACUCUUUGGACUCGAGCGAUGCCUCUGACUCCGACCCAGAUUCUGACUCAGAAGACGAAGCAAAACAAAACAUGGAGCUUCAAAACUUGAGUAUCAGCUAUCCAAUAAACCUUCCAAUUACGACACCCAUUUUCAAGUAACUUCAAUAUGCAUACUUAUUCAAUGAUUUUGUGGAUACCCAUUUGCUUUUUCUUUCUUAAUUGGGUUGCGAUAAAUAUGGCUUUUUUUUUCUUCAGUAUAUAAAGGUUUUGAGAAAAAUGGGUGAGAUAGAGAAGCUGAGACAAGCUAGGGAAGCGACGAAAGAUAUUUUUUCCAUUGACUCCUGCUAGGUGGAAAGAAUGGGCGAGAGAUGAAGCCUCUAUUUCAACUGGGUAUCUGUCAUUUCCUUUUUGCAGUGGUUUUCGAUUUUUUGAACAAAUAUUUUUUCGCUUAAAGAUAUAGAUGUAUAUGUUUGUUAUUUGCUAAUGUAAAAAGGAACAAAACCUGCUUAAAAGGUAUUAAAGAAAGAAAAAGAGAACCAAUUUGAAGAAAGGGAUACUUAUAGUGGGAGUUCUAUUCUUUGGGGUUUAAUUGAUGGGAGAAGAAACAGCUUAUAUGUUUACAGACAUAGACAUUCGAUUGCUGAGUUAGCUGAGGAAGAUAAUUAAUCACAUGUUUGAUGUUGUUUCUGUUGGCCUCAGCUAAUUGUUAAGAUUUCAUACUUUUUUCUGGUUUUUCAUAACUGUGACCUAAAGCUUAAUGUAUACUUUGAUAAUUACAUAAUCGGUUUCUUGCUGAUACUUGGCUUUAAUUUGUAGACCUGAGGCUCUUUUGGGAGUUGGGAAGAUUUACGAAAGAGGAGUUUCUGAUUAUCUGGUUUGUUCUCUUUAUGCCUACAGAAUUUGAAUUCAUACUAUGCAUGAAUUUAUGAUUCUUUGAGAAAGAUUUUAUUCUUGAGAAAGAUUUGAUGAAAUUUAAGCAUUAUAGUAAAGCAUACCACUGGUAAGCUUGAUUCACUUUGUUUUUAUUUACUACCAAGAGGUGCUAACAGUUCAUGAUAAACAAAAAGAGGUGGGGAAAAAAAGAUAUCUUCUUGCUAGAUCCAUAAAUUUAAUAUUUGAAUCAUUUUCAAACAAAGAAAUGUGCUGAAGAGCAGCAUUUUCGUUUAUAUCAAAGUUCAAUUGCAUCUUAUAUCAUCUGUUUCCAUCUCCUUUGUGGUAAAUAAAGUCCUUGAUGAUGACAAUAAGAAUCACAGAAGAAAUUAAUUUCAUAUCUGGUGAUUUUCAUCAUAGUAGUUCAUUGAAAGUGAAGGCAGCUGAGUACUCCUUUUUCUGAUGCAGUCUGUCCCUCUUUGGUGUGAUUAUUUGAAAUUUGUGCAAGAAUAUGAUCCAUCUAUACGAGAAUGUGCCUAAUAAAAUAUCACAAAGGUGCCUAAUACAGUGAAAUUAACAUAUUCAGGUCAUGAGAUUGCCAUUAUAUAUAUUGAAAAAGAAAUUAAUAUAAGAAACUGAAAAUUAAUUGACACUGGAUCAUGUUGGAUUGUUAGUUGUUAAUUAUGAUGGCAAUAUAAUCUUGGUCUUUUAAUUAUCAUCUCGCUAAUGCAUGUGCACUUUCAUUUGUGUCUAUCACUGAAGAAUAAAGUUGCUUGAUUGAACAGCAUCAUAUGACAGAAACUCAAAACUCAAUUUCAUUGCGCAAGCAUACCAUGCCAUAUGUAGCCCAAAAGUGCAAUUAACAUUGAACAUUCAGCUAGCUUGCUCGUACUAAUUAAUUUAUAGGAUUGCUAGUUCUUUAUGAUUCACUAAAAGAGAAAAUAUUUGACAAUCACGAAAACAACAACAAUUCACUCCCAUAAACAACAUAAUAGAUACAUGGUCUAUAUUGCAAGUCUUUUUAUGAUUUUAAUUAAAAGAGAAAAUGCAAAGGACAUAUUAUAUAUAAUUGAAUGUUCUCCUUGAUAAUUAGUCAAAAUAACGCCAAUCUGGCUAACUAAUACAAUCAUCAUAAUUAUCUGAUUUUCAUUUUAAUUAUGUCCAAGCAUGCUAAUUUAAUAAAGAACACAGAAUAUAUGAGUAUUUAUAUGUUUAACAACUUUGGCUGAGUAUGAAAAAUAUAAGAGCUGCAUUUAUGCUUUGUGUUAUUAAGUAGGACAUGACCAUAUUAUGUUGCAUUUGUCAGAAAACUGAAAAUUAUUGAAAAGGAUCUUAAAAGAGAUGUGUUGAAUUGUGAGCUUAAAAAUGAGUUUUAGAAGUUUCUGACAUGUCGGUUUAUAUCCUUGAUUGUGCAUGCCCUGUCGGUUUCUGGAUGAAACAGGAGAAUAUGACAUCUGUUUAUUGUCUUUUACUUCCAGUAAGUGAAUCACAUGUUCUUCACGUGAUUUGACAUGCUUUAUACGGAUUUAGCAGUUGUUUUGGUCACUUAUUGAAGCACGAGUUAAGCACGUGAUUCAAGGUUGUUAACCGACCGUUGUAAGGUAGGAAAAUUCUGGGUUUCUUACAACAAACCCAGAAGGCAGCUGGUGAGUGGGAGAUGUUUCUAGAUUCUUCAUGAUCUGUAUAUAUAGUCUUAGAGGCUAUAGUUGAGCCAUAUGAAAAGCUUGUAACUUCUUAAUGUUUGUAGCUUGUUCUUGGUAAUUGCUCUGAACAGGGAAGUGAGCUAAAAUGAUAUCAACUUUUAUUUAUGGGCAGGUUAAGAAAAUUUGAGUUUCUCAAAAAUGGCUUCCAUGAGAUCAGCAGUUCUUUGGAUUUAUCUUUCGAAUAUGAUUUGGUUGCUGAUGAGAAAAUUCCAUUCCUAGCUUAUCUUGCCAGUGUUCUAAAGGAGCAUUCCUUUUUCCCAUAUGAGCCACCAGCUGGAAGCAAAAGAUUCAGGAAUCUGAUUGCUGACUUCAUGAAAAUGUACCACCAUAUUCCACUAAAUGCUGAUGUGAGAAAACCUUCACCACUCAUCUGUUUUUUUACUUCUCUGGCCAAGUAAUUUUUAUAUUGUCUGUCCUAGAUUCUGUUUUCCCUGAUGCAUUAUUUCAAUUUCUUUGCACGUGAAGUCCUAGGAUCUGUUUCCCCUGAUGCAUUAUUUCAAUUUCUUUGCAUGUGAACUUGGAGCAUUCAUAUUAUUUUAGGAGUGAAUCUAUUGGUCAUUUACUUGUUUGUAACAAAUAACGUAUGAAACAAUCUUGUUAUUUUUUGUUCUCAAUAUGUAGAGCUCUAUGGACCAAUUGCCUGUCUUCUGUUAUCCUCAUUAGAAUUUCUUCAUACUACUUCCACUUCAUGCUAUUUGU